rnacentral:lncRNA from 1 species
GUCCUGACAGGCGGUUAUGCGAUAGGUUCAAAUGGUUCAAUGAGGUUAUAGAAGACAUGCUCGGAGGAAUUGGGCCUGAAAGGCAGUUGCAUGAGAGGUCAAGAGUUUCUAGCCCUUGCAUGGCUCCAAUCUUCUCAGGUAUCUUUCCAGUCAACUGGUUUCGGGACAAAUUCAAGGUACCCAGGGUCGAGAGAUUUGUGAUCUCUUUUGGGAUCUCUCCCCAAAUGUUAUUGCUAGAAAGAUCUAUCAAAUUCACAAUUGGCAAUAUGCUAUCAAAUUCCAUAUUUUGUCCCUUUACAACUAGCUCCAUGCGCUCCGAAUAGACGACAUGACCAUUGGGGUCGUCAAAAUUUCUGUCUAAUAAGGUCACAAAACUUAAAGCAGUUAAAUUGCCUAAGCAUUGUGGGAUGGAUCCUGAUAAAUUGUUCACUGCAAGAUCCAAAAUGUGGAGAUGAGAAAGCCAACACAAUUUCUCAGGAAUAUCUCCUGUCAACAUGUUACCCCGUAGACGCAGCUGCUCCAGUGAUGGCAUUCUUUCUCCAAUCCAUUUGGGUAUCUCCCCCGAAAACCUGUUAUUUCCAAGAUCAAGGGAGUACAACCCUGUGCAGUUUCGUAAGCUUGGAAAGGGUUCCCCAGAAAGAUUGUUGUCACCCAAUAUCAACUGAGUAAGUGAAGAUUUUGAACACAUCCAACUCGGAAUCCCACCAGACAUUUUGUUCUUGGAUAGAUCUACAGUGUCAAGCCAUGGCAAAUCAUUCCAAUUCUUUGGAAUCUUUCCAGAUAAAUGAUUGUUUGAGAGAUUAAUUACUCCCAAAUACUUCAGUUUACUAAUUGAUGAAGGAAUGCUGCCAUUUAACAAGUUACAAGAAACAUCAAGGAUUUCCAAGCUUGAUAAUUCCCCGAUGUUCAAGGGAAUUGGACCAGAAAAUGAAUUGUUUCCCAGAUACAAAGAUCCCACAUUAAGUCGAAGUGGGAGUGGGCCCCCCAAGUGGUUGAAACUUAAAUCCACCAAUGCGUCUUGGCUAAAGGAUGAUGAGUUGGGAAGCGUUCCAUACAAUUGGUUUCUAGAAAGAUCUAACCACGAAAAAUCUUGUUUCCAAAGCCAUUCGGGUAUUGCAUCUGAAAUCCCCACAUUUUUUAGAAUCAUAAAUCCAAGUCUCUUUUGAGUUCUAAGCCAGUUGGGGAACUUGAGAGAUACAUGGCAGUUGUAAACCUCGAUAGAUUCGAGACUGAAGGGAGGAAUCCAUUCAGGUCUCAAAUGAAAACGGAGAGACUGGUUUUUGGGUGAUACGAGUAAUGAGAAUUCUGUCAGUUUAGUAAGAUUACUGAAAUGAAUUUCAGAUAUUACCCCUUCCCAAGAAUUCCAAUCAAGAUACAACUCAGUUAGCUCUCUAAGUUGUCCGAUACUUUCUGGAAUAGUCCCAUUCAUUAGAUUGUUUGACAAGUGAAGUCUCUUCAUCCGCAGCAAGUUUCCAAUCCAUGUUGGAAUUGGACCUGAGAUGAAGUUUUCAAUCAGAUAAAGAAUCUCUAAGUUGGUAAGGUGUUGAAUUGAAUUGGGGAAGGGACCAACAAAACUAUUGUUCAUCAAGUUCAGGUACUUUAAAUUCUUAAAGAGCCCUAAUGAAUCUGGCAACUGACCACCGAAUUGAUUAUAACCCAAGUUUAACCAUUCCAAGGAAUUAUUAGUGUAUGUUGAUAAACCAUUCACCAAUUCAAUUGCUUCACUUCCAAUAUAAUUGAAUGAGAGAUCUAAGGUCACCAAGUUGCGAAGGCUUCCCAAGUUAACACGGGGAAUCGGACCUUUAAUUGUAGCACCAUUUAAAUAAAGAUCCAUAAGGGUACUGAUAUUAAACAACCAGCCAGGCAAAGUAGUGUUGAAAUUGUUGUUGGAGAGAUCAAUAAGCGAAACAGAAGUCAAAUUAACAAACGGAUUGGAGUACUGAGGGAAGUGACUAAGAUGACAACCGGACAAAUGUAAUUCUAACAAAAAUGGAAGCAUGUUUACAGCUUGCAUCCAAUUUGUGGUUGCUUUACUAAGGUCCACAUACGCCAGAUCAAGGUAUUUUAAAGAAGAAAGACCAGAAAGCCAAUUUAAAUUAGAAACCCUCAUUGGAUAAUCUCCUCCCAAAAGAUCAAGAUAACGUAACUGUGAUAAAUUUCCAAGAUGAGGAGGAAUCAUCCCACCAAAUCGUGCAUUAGAGAGAUUAAGGUAUCUCAACCUUUCAAAUGAGCCCAAGAAAUUUGGAAUUGGAAUUCCUUGAAAAUCAUUAAGACUUAGGUCCAGGUAAGUUAAAUGUUUCAAGUCAAGUAAGGAACUACUUAUCUCACCACCCAAACGUGAGAAGCCACCACCCAAACGUGAGAAGUCACCACCAGAUUUGAGGUCAACCUUGACAACAUGCCCUGUUUGGUUGUUGCAAUCCACACCUUUCCACUUGCAGCAAUCUGCACCAACCCAGGAAGAAAGCCUACCUGAAGGAUCUUUCAGUCCAUUUUUGAAUUCAAGAAGCGCUUUCCGCUCUACCUCAAUGCAGCCCUUGUUCAUACCACCAUCAAUGGAAUUGAUAAUGGUAGCUUGAGCUAGGAGAAGCUCGAGAAACAGAGAAAGGAGAAAAAGAGUAAGAAGUAGAAGGGUGGUUUUCCAACUUGCCAUUUGAUGAAUGCAAAGUUGCAAAGUUAUUAGUGGGUGUUAUAUAAAUAAUAAGAUUGGAGUCUUUGGUCUAAUUUAGUCAACUAUUUUAAGUCUUUUGGCCGCCAUAAAUAUAGAAGAAAUUAUCAAGUUCAAUCACAAUCGGAUCACAUAUCUCUUCUAUCCCUGAGUAAAUUAAUUCAAGACAUUAAUUACCAAGUUUUUGGUCCAAAGAAAAAAAGAAUUUUUUUUAUUCCUAAUUUACACUCAUCUAAUUAUUAACUGGAAUAAAAAAUUUCAAUUAAUUAAAAAAAUAAAAUUUAGAUUUUAAUAUUUUUCCCAAAUUCAAAAUUCAAAAAUUAAUAAAUUAAUCUCAACUAUGUUAUUCAUAAAUCCCAAGAUAGGUUACAUAAAAAUAAGUUUUAACUAAGAAAAUUUCUAACAUUUUAUUAACUACCAAGUAUAAUUAGAAAUCCUAAUUAUUAUGUAAUUAUCAAUUUUCUACUAAUUAUAUAAUUAAUUAUUAUGCAAUUUUAUUAUGCUAAUAAAUUAUGAUAUUUUGGUAUAUUUUAAAAUAUAUUAAAUUACCAUUUUUAUAUUAUUAAUUUUAAAAUCAAAAUAAAAAAUAUAAUAACUAAUUUUUAGAUAUUUUAACAUGUAAACAUAAAUAAGUAUAACAUUUCAAACAUUAAUAAAAACACAAGCAAUUUAACACUUAACAAUAUUUAUAUAAUAAUAAGAAAUAAACAACUUAAACACUUAAUCAGUCUACUAUAUUUAAGUCAAAGUUAUGCCUAUUCAAAUUUCAAACAAAAAAUAAUUAAAUACCACCUUACACUUAUUAUGCAUUACUCAAGCCAUUUAUUUUCAAUAAAUAUAUUUUUUCAAAUAAUUUUCAUAAUAUUUUAUUUUCGUUUAUAGGCUACAAUCAACAUGGAGGAGGAAGCUUCAAGUAGCUUUCUUCAAUUAUUUAAAGUUAGUGACUAUCCAUAGAAGAAAAUUUUGACACGAAUGUAAAAAGAAAAACAAUUUUCACACAAGUCUAAAAAUGUCUUUUAGAGAAACUAUUAAAACAUUAUUUGAAUUUCUCCUCUUGAUUGUUGACUUCAAGGACUUUUGUGACAUGUUGACUGUUGACUGAAACAAAAUCCUUGUUUAUUUGGUGUGAGUUAGGAAAAAAAAAAAGGAAGUUAUAUUUUUUUUAAUGAAAAAAUUUAUUUUUUCUAAAUAAAAAAAUUCUUUUUUUUUUUUAAAUAAAAAAUUUCCUUAUUUAACCAAACCGAUUUUAACCAAUUCAUUGUAGCCUGAUUAGUUCAGUUUUUCAUUUAAAGACGUUUGGUUUAGCUUGAAAAAAAAAAAAAAAAAAAACAAACAAAAACAAAAACAAGGUUAAAUAUUAAGUAUUUAGGUCAUUGUUUUUUUUAUUAAUGCUAAAUAUUUUUAAGUGUUAAAUUGCUUGUUUUUAGUAAUGUAUAAAGGCUUAAACUUAUUUAUUUUUACACAUUAAAAAUAACUAUAAAAUUAGUUGUUGUUAUUAUUAUUAUUUUAAAAUUAAUAAUUUAAGAAAUAGUAAUUUAAUAUAUUUACAACUAUCUCAAAACAUUAUAAUUCAUUACCAUAACAAAAAUUAUAUAAUAAUUAAUUAUGUAAUUUAUAGAAAAUUAAUAAUUAGAUCAUUAUUAGGAUUUUUAGUUAUGCUUGGUUGUUAAGAAAAUGUUAAAAAAUUUCUAAGUUAAAAUUUAUUUUUAUAUAAUAUAUAUUCUGAUUUAAGAAUAUUGUUGAGAUUAAUUUUUUUUUUCUUUUAAAUUUGGGAAAAAUAAGAAAGACUAAAAUUUUAGUUUUCAAAAUUAAUUGGAAUUUUUUUUAUUCUAAUUAAUAAUGACAUGAACGAACCCCAAUUUUUUUAUAAUGACUAAUUAUGCAAAGUGUAGAAAAAUAAUAAUUAGAUAAUUAUUAGGAUUUCUAAUUAUGCUUGGUUGUUAAAAAAUGUUAAAAAAUUUAUAUGUUAAAACUUAUUUUUAUAUAACUAUCUUCAAAUUUAUGAAUAUUGUUGAAAUUAAUGUAUUAAUUUUUAUUUUUAAUUUGGGAAAAAUGUAAAAAUCUAAAUUUUAUUUUUUAAAUUAAUUAGAUUUUUUUUAUUCUAGUUAAUUAUUAAAUGAGGGUAAAUUAGAAAUCUAAGUUCAAGGACAUUAGUCAACCAAACUGACUUCAAACCUAACCAAUCCAAUCUUAUUACUUUUUAUUUCCAUUUAAAGAUGUUUGUUUCUAUUAAAAAAAAAUGAUUACAUUGGUUUAGUGUUCAUGAAGCAAUCAAAGCUAAACCAACCGAAUUUAUCUAUUAUUUAUAAAUAAAAAUAAAAAUAAAAACGAUUACAUUGGUUCGGUAUUCAUUUCAAAACAACGAAUCAAUAGAAAUCGAUCUAAUCGAACCUAUCUAUUAUAUAUUCGACUUAAAAGGUGCAAAAUUUGAAGUUAUUUUUCGACUUCAUAUUUUGCUUCUCAUAAUUUAUUAUAAAUUUAUGAAGUUAUUUUUUAGUUGUCAUAUUUUUUUAAAAUAUUUUAUUUUUUCAAAAUAAAUUCACUAAAUAUUAUAUCACAUGUAUUUGUGGUUCACUAAAUUUUUAAUAAUCAAAUUAAUAAAUUUGUAAAAGAAAAAUAUUAUAUUUUCUCCAUUUUGUUCACUUGAUAAACAUAUCUACCAAAAUGUCAAGCGGAUGUUUGAAAUUUACCUCUAUUUUUUUUGUUGUGUAAUAUUUGGUUGAUUAUAUUUAUAAAGCAUUAUAAAUCCCAAGAAAGUACACAUAGUCCUAAAUUAUUAUGAAUGAAAUAAAAUUAUUAAUUUAAAUUUAGUCUUUAUAUUAAAAAGUUAAAAUAAGUGAAAUGAGUUUAAAAUAGUCUAUAAAAAUAAUUUAUUGAUUUUAAAUCUAUGUUAUAUUUUCCUUCAUUUUUUAUUUUUAUUUUUAUUUUUUGUAUUUUUUCCCUUGUAUUUCCCCCAAAAUUUUGUCCAAACCAAACAUAAACUUGGAAAAUAUGUCAAAUCAAUACUAGUGUUUGAGACUUAAGAAAUUUUUUUAAAAGGAUUGGAUCAAGGUUUAAUCACGAGUACACCACACAUAGCCCUUUUGUCCAUAAGUAAAUUAAUUUAAGAUAUUUUAUUUAUUAAUAUAAUUAUCAAGCUUUUGAAACAUGAAGUUGUUGUUCAUGGAAAGAAAAAGAAAAAGUAUUUUAUUUAUUUAUUUUGCCUAACACACAUAGACUAAGAACUUUUCUUCGAUUAAAAGUCAAGGAAGUCAUUGUGAACAAUUACCAAGAAAAGAAAUUCAAAUAAUGCUUUAAUGAAUGGUGUAUAUAUUUUCUCUAAAAUGCAUUUUUAGACUCCUACUACAAGUUUUUCUCGCAAAAACAAAAAAUAAAAAAUAAAGCUUCAUUUUUUUGCCUAACUCACACGCAAUAGACUAAGGACUUUGUUUCAGUCAAGAGUCAACAUGUCACAAAAGUCGGUGAAUUUAUUGUCUAAAGAAAAUAAUAAAUAAUACUUUAACGUAUGAUGUACAUAUUUUCUCCAAAAGGCAUUUAUAGACUCAUACAAUUUUCUCCUAUCGACCAUUUACCAACUUCAAUUAAUUGAAGAAAGUUAUGUGAAUGAUGGAACUUCCUACUCCAUGUUAAGUGAUAUGGCCUAUCAUGAAAAUUAUUUAAAAUUUUAUAUAUAUUCAAUUAUUUAUUAUUAUUAUUAUUAUUAUUAUUAUACAUGAAAACUGCAUUACAAGUCCAUGCCUUUUGGAAAAAUGUUUAUUAUUAUUACAAAAUAAACAUUUUGUGACGAUUGAUUAUGUAAUAGGUUAACAUUUAUUUUUAUGUAAUGUAUCUUUUGAUUUAUGAAUUUGUAAUUGAAAUUUAAUUUUCAUAUCUGGUGGGAGUGCCAGUCACAAAACAAAAAAGUGAUGAAGACCUUUCGGCCCUUCAUGGGCCAUGUAUCACAAGCAUAUGAGCCAAUCAUGGACCCCAUCCUGUCCUCAACCUCAACUGUUGCUAUAAAUCUAAAUACUGAUGUAGAACCCUAUCCGAAAAUGGUCCAUUCGAUAGGCAUUAGGCACCUACCACAAGAAAAUUAAGGAAAACAAAAAAUAAAAAAUAAAAAAUGAAGCUUCAUUUUUUUGCCUAACUCACACGCAAUAGACUAGUGACUUUGUUUCAGUCAAGAGUCAACAUGUCCCAAAAGUCUUUAAAGUCAUUGUCUAAGGAAAAUAAUCACAAAAAUAAUAAAUAGUAUUAAUAUAAGAUGUUAAUAUCAUAUGUAUAUAUUUUCUUCAAAAGGCAUUUCUAGACUUCUACAAUUUUCUCGGACCACUUAACAACUUCAAUUAAUUGAAGAAAGUAUUAUUAUUAUUAUUAAGGGUUGAAAAAAUGCAUAGCAAGUCUAUGUGGUAUUUAUUUAUUUUUGUCUAAAGUAUGAAUAAACCUAAAUUAUUAUUUUUUAUUUUAAUUCUAAAAUUAAUAAUUUAAGAAAUAGUAAUUUAAUAUAUUAACAAAUAUAUCAAAAUUCUUAAUUUAUUACCAUAAUAAAAAAUUUCUAAAAAUUAAUUAUGUAAUUGGUAGAAAAUUUAUAAUUAGAUAAUGAUUAGGAUUUUUAUUUAUGUUUGGUUGUUAAGAAACUAUUAGAAGUUUUCUAAGCUAAAACUUAUUUUUAUGUAAUGUAUUUUAUGAUUUAAUGAAUGGUGUUGAGAUUAAUUUGUUAACUUUUUAUUUUUAAUUUGGGAAAAAAUUAAAUAUUAAUUUUGGAAAUUAAACAAUGGAUAAUAUAAUGAUAGAAUAAUAUUAUUUUUCAAAUAGUUUUCUUUCAAAUAGAAUAAUAUAAAAUUAAUUUAAUAUAUGAUAGAAUAAUAUAAAAUUAAUUUAAUUUUCGAGAUUUCAAUUUUCAAAUAAAUUUCAAAACUUUAGUUUUCUUUCAAAUAGUUUUAAUUCUACUCCAGUUUUUAUUUUUAUUUUUAUUUUUAAUUCUACCACUUUUCAUCAUUUAUUAGGGUUUUAGGUCACAAAAAAUCCUGAUUUUAAUAAUUUUGCUGUCAUUUUCAUUUUGGCAUGCACUUGUACAAAUUUUCUUCGAUUUUCAAAUAAUUUUCUGUUUCUCUUAAUUUUAAGUAAACAAGAAUGAUUUUUUCAUAAUUCCAAAAUAAUGGAAUUUGUAAGACUAAUUUAUGCAAGAUAAAUUAGGCUUUGGUGGGGGCCCAACAUUCUUAACAUUUCUUUCGAAAAUAAUUCAAGUGAAUUUUAUGAUUAAUAUUAUUUGAUUUUGAUUGGUUUUGUGUGAGAUAUUUUACACUUAUCAUUACGCACUAACCUUGUUUCAUAAUAGUGCUUUAUUACCGGUUGCCAAGGUACGAUCUCACCCCUACUUUGCUUAUUUUUAUACAUGAUUUGUUUUAUUAUUUGAUCAUUUCAUUGAUAUCCAUUGAUUUCUUUAUCAAUUGUCACAUUUCUCACCUUAUUUAGUAGAUGCCUGUUUUUAGGGACUUAGAGGGGUGCUACGGUUUUUUACCGUACCUUCCCAAUAAGUAACUUGACCCCCGAACCCGACUCGGUUUUUCAUAGACUUGUUUUUCCUUCAGGAGUCACACUUAGAGUUUUUCUUUUUUAGUUUAUUUUUCCCUUUAAAAAAAAUUAAAAUAAGUGGCGACUCCAAUUAUUUAAAAAAAAAAAAAUCAAAUUUUUACCAAAUAAAAUAAAAAAAUGAGUUUCACCAUGGAGUGGGAACGCAUCAUGUGAAAUACGGGAUCCACAUAUAGGUUUUUAAACUAUUUCAAAUCUCGGUACCAGUUAUGAAUGUAGGAGAAAUGAAGACCUGUAUGGGCCAUCUUCUCGUGUAAAUAAAAAUAAAACCAGGAUAAUGAAAAAUAAAUCAUUCAUAUAGAAUAAACUUCAAUUCACCAAAUUAAUAAUUAAUAAAUGAUUAAAAUGGGAAAAAAAUAUCUAAUCUAAAUCAGUAGGAUGGGUGUUUAAGACACUAAUUUUCUUUCUAUUAGAUUCAGUUCCAAUCUAACUCAAGGUUAAUAUAUUUUUAAUUUUGAAAAAGUAUAUGAUGCACAAUAAUCUAAAGAAAUAAUUAUAUUUUCUCCAUUUUUUUUUUUUUGUUUUUGGGUCCUAAUGAAACCUCACGAGAGAAAACUUUAUAGGGUUGUAAAAGCAAAAUAAAUCAAAGCUCACAUGUUCAAAGUCAUUUCAUUUCAUACCUUAGUUGUUGCAAUAAAUGGUGUAUAAAUACGUCGUAAUACUUAACAUGAAGUAGGAAGUUUCAUGGACAAUGACUUCAAGGACUUUUGUGACAUCUUGACUCCUAACCAAAACAAAGUUCUUAGUCUAUUCCGUGUAUGUUAGGCAAAAUAAAUAAAUAAAAUAACUUUUUCUUCUUCUUUGGAUGGACAGUAACUUCAUGUUUCAAACACUAGAUAAUUAAUAUCUUGAAUUAACUUUCUUAUGAAUACAAGGGGUGAUCAUGAUUGAACCUUGAUCCAAUCCUUUAUAAAGAAUUUCUAAAUCUCAAACACUAGUAUUGGUCUAACAUAUUUUUUAAGAUUAUAUUUGGUUCCAAAAAAAUUUGAGGGAAAUACAAGGGAAAGAAAAUAAAGAAAAAAUAAAAUAAAAUGAAAAAAAAGUGAAAGAAAAUACAAUAUAGAUUUAAAGUCAAUAAAUUAUUUUUUUAUACUACUUCAAACUCAUUUAGCUUAUUUUAACUUUUUAAAAUUAAGAUUAAAUAAUUUUAAAAUACAUAAAAUUUUAAUUAAUUUUAAUUUAUUAUAUUUUCUUUGAUAUUUUCUAUAAUACACAAUUAAAUAUAUAAAAAUUAUUUUCUGUGUAUGAAUAAAAUGGAGAAAAUAUGAUUCUUUGUUUAGAUUAUUGUGCAUCAUAUGUUUUCUAAAAUUAAAAAAUAUAUGAACCUGAGGAUUGGAACUGAAUCCAAUGGAAAUGAUACCAUUAUUUGAUUGAUCAUAUCUAAUAUAAAGGAAAGUUAAAUAUCAUGAAAAUUAUUUAAAAAUUUAUACAUAUUCAAAUUCUUCCUAAUGGCUAGAAAAAUACAUAACAAAUAUAAGGCGGUGUUUUUUCUUUUUCUUUUUUGUUUAUAAUCUAAAUAAUUAUGUAUUUAACUUAAUCUAAUAAAGUCGAACGUUAUUGGCAUUUUAGCUUGUUUAGUUUUUAUUAUAAAUGUUGUUAAGUGUCAAAUUUUUUGUUUUUAUUAAUGUCUACAGUGUUAAACUUAUUCUUAUGUGUUAAAAAAUCUACAAAAUUAAUUAUCAUAUUUUUAUUUUUAUUUUAAAAUUAAUAAUUUUGAAAAAUAGUAAUUUAAUAUAUUUUCAAAUAUAUCAAAAUAUCACAAUAAUAAACAUUUUGUAAUGAUUGAUUAUGUAAUAGGUUAACAUUUAUUUUUGUGUAAUGUAUCUUUUGAUUUAUGAGUUUUUAAUUGAAAUUUAUUUUUGUAAUGUAUCUUUUGAUUUAUGAAUUUGUAAUUGAAAUUUAAUUUUCAUAUAUGGUGGGAGUGCCAGUCACAAAACAAAAAAGUGAUGAAGACCUUUCGGCCCUUCAUGGGCCAUGUAUCACAAGCAUAUGAGCCAAUCAUGUACCCCAUCCUGUCCUCAACUUUAAGUUUAACCGUGGCUAUAAAUCUAAAUACUGUUGUAGAACCCUAUCUGAAAAAGUCCAUUCGAUAGGCAUUAGGCACCUACCACAAGAAAAUUAAUGAAAACAAAAAAUAAAAAAUAAAAAAUGAAGCUUCAUUUUUUUUGCUUAACUCACACGCAAUAAACUAGUGACUUUGUUUCAGUCAAGAAUCAACAUGUCACAAAAGUCUUUAAAGUCAUUGUCUAAGGAAAAUAAUUACAAAAUAAUAAAUAAUACUUUAAUAUAAGAUGUUAAUAUCAUAUGUAUAUAUUUUCUUCAAAAGGCAUUUCUAGACUUCUACAAUUUUCUCGGACCACUUAACAACUUCAAUUAAUUGAAGAAAGUAUUAUUAUUAUUAUAAAGGAUUAAAAAAAAUGUAUAACAAGUCUAUGUGGUAUUUAUUUAUUUUUGUCUAAAAUCUGAAUAAACCUAAAUUAUUAUUUUUUUAAUUUUAAUUCUAAAAUUAAUAAUUUAAGAAAUAGUAAUUUAAUAUUUUUAAAAAUAUAUCAAAAUUCUUAAUUUAUUACCAUAAUAAACAUUUUUCUAACAAUUAAUUAUGAAAUUAGUAGAAAAUUUAUAAUUAGAUAAUGAUUAUAAUUUUUAUUUAUGUUUGGUUGUUAAGAAACUAUUAGAAUUUUUCUAAGCUAAAACUUAUUUUUAUGUAAUGUAUUUUUCUGAUUUAUGAACAUUGUUGAGAUUAAUUUGUUAACUUUUUAUUUUUAAUUUGGGAAAAAAAUAAAUAUUAAUUUUGGAAAUUAAACAAUGGAUAAUAUAAUGAUAGAAUAAUAUUUUCUCCAUUGUGUUUAUUUAAUAGGUAGUUUCACAAAAUAUAUUGGACUUGUAUUUGAUAUUUAUCAAUUUUUUCAAAUGAUUGGAUUGAUUUGAUGAUAUAUAUUACAUACUCUUCUAUUCAUGAGUAAAUCAAAAGAAUGAUAAAAAUUACCAAGUUUUUCAAACAUCAAGCCAUUGCCGAAAGGGGCAAAAAAAAAAAAAAAAAUCAUUUUUUAUUUUUUGUCUACCUUAGACGACAUAGACUAAGCACUUUGUAUAAGUCAAUAAUUAAGAUGUCAUCAAAGUCCUUCAAGAAAUGUCCAAGGAAAUUUAAAAAAUCAUGAAAAAAAAGUUAUAAAUGAUGUUUUAAUGUAUUAUAUACAUAUUCUCUUUAAAAGGCAAUUUUAAACUCCUCUUAGAAUUUGCUAUUAUGGAAUUCUUUUUCCUUUUUCGUAUCUCAAUUUCAAUACAUUUUAAUUUAACUUAAAUUUAAAUAGUAUGAAAUAUUAAGUGAUUUGUUUUCAUUUUUUUUUCUUUGACUUAAUUCUUAAAAAAUAUUGUUUUAAUAUUAAAGUCAUUUUAAAGAUCGUUUAUUUGUUUAAUUUAUUAUUUUUUAAGACAAUUUGAUCUUAAUAAAAAAAAACUAAUUUAUUGUUUUUCUUUUAUCUUAAAUUUUAAAUUAACUUGUUUUAAGACUUAAGACUUAAGUUAAAAUUAAAAUUAAAAAAAAAAAUAAACCGUUAUAUUUAGUUAUAAAAACAAAUUAAGAAAAAUGAUUUUCUAUUGAUUAGUUUCAUUAUGGAAAUACAAAUAUAUAUAUAUAAUAAAAAUUAAUUAAAAUUUUAUACAUUUUAAAAUUAUUUAAUAAAAAAUAAAUAAAAUGGUUCCAAAAAACAUAUUAAAAUAAUUUAUUUACUUUAAUUUUUUUUUCCUUCAUUUUUUUUUAUCUUUCAUCUAUUUUUCUUCAUUUCUUUCCCUCACUUAUUUCCUCAAAAUUUUAAAUUUAUUUAACCAUUUUAAGUCUUCGUGCCAAUGCUAGUCAUAAACAAACAAUUGAUGAAGACCUUUCAGCCCUUCGGCCCAUGUAUGAUGUAUCACAAGAAUAUAUGAGUUAAUCAUGGACCCCAUCCUGUCCUCAACUUCAACUGUUGCUAUAAAUCUAAAUACUGAUGUAGAACCCUAUCUCAAAAUGGUCCGUUCGAUAGGCACCUACCACAAGACAAUUAAUCAAAACUACAAUAAUGAAAAAAAAUAGAAAAUAAAGCUUGAUUUUUUUGCCUAACUCACACGCAAUAGAUUAAGAACUUUGUUUAAGUCAAGAGUCAACAUGUAACAAAAGUCCUUGAAGUCAUUGUCUAAGGAAAAUAAUCACAAAAUAAUAAAUAAUACUUUAAGAUAUGAUGUAUAUAUUUUCUUCAAAAUGCAUUUCUAGACUAUUACAAUUUUCUUCCAUGAAUCACUUACUAACCUCAAUUAAUUGAAGAAAGCUACAUGAAUGAUGGAACUCCAUGUUAAGUGAUACAUAAAGUAAAAUAUAAUGACAAAUAAAUAAAAAAACGAAUAAAAUAAAGUAAAAUAAUAAAAUAAAUAAAUAAAUAAUCAUAUGAAAGAUGAAUAAAUAAAAUAAUAAAAUUAGGUUAAUAAACAAAUUAAACAAAGCGCAAAAUCCAAUAAUAUGACACGAAUUUUGAUGCUUUCAGCUUUACAAACAUGCUGCUAAAGACUCUGUUCUCCACAUGAUCAGUCUCAUCUCUCUUUCUCCCACUCGAAGCCGUCGGACCCGUACUGUGCCUAGGUCGCUUCGGAUCCGUGAUGGGGUUCAGAGUUUCUUGCCGAAAACCUCCCCUGCCACCGUUAGUGAAGCCUAAGAAAGGCUUUCUUGUGAGAUGAAACUCGGUUCUUCUGUUGAACAAGGACUUAGCUGAAGACGUGUGCGACGAAGCUAAGAGACCAUUUUCCUAAGCAUUGGCUUAUGGGAAGACCAUUCAGAUGAGUGUAUGAGUUUAAUGGAUGUGAGGAAUGGGAAUAUGAGUGAUAGAGCAGGCACCUAGGGCAAGUUAUUAAUGGCGGGUAUGAGGGAUGGGGAUGUGUGUGGUGGAGCAAAUAAGGAGUGGAGGAUGAAACCUGGUAGUGUUGAGGAACUGAACCUGAGUAGUGUCGGGUGGAAAAUAUGGAGCUGGGUUGGGUAAAAUUGAUGAGUAUUUUGGCUUGGGAUUUGGGUCUGAUAGAGAGGCUUUGUAAAAGUGGCCAUGCAGGAGUUAUUCACAUGCUUAUGAAUGGUGGGGGAGGGGGAGGAAACUCAAACCAGAUUUGAAAAUAAGAACAAAUUAUUCCCAAGCCAAAAGCCAAAGUAAAAAUAAAUAAAUAAACCAACAACAGCACACCUAUGAAUGGCUCAGAAAUCCAAUAUAUUCAAACACAUAAUAUGAUGUUCAUGCUUAGCAAACAAUCCACAAAAAGAAAUAGCUAUCAAAAUACUAAAAAAAACUCCACAGAAACCGAGAACUCUGAUCAGUUUAUUGUCCUCCCAUCCAUCUAUAUAUAUAUAUGUAUAUAUCCUAUACACGGAGUCUAAAUUCCUAAAUUGUAUAUGGUAACAUUAACAUUUCCUAUAUGUACAACCAAUUUCAUUCCUAAUUUGUAUAUGGUAACAUUAACAUCCCCCCUCAAAUUGAUGUUGGUAAGUCAACUAGCAACAAUUUGCCAACAAGAAUUGAUGUCGCCGUCGAGUCAAAGCUUUAGUGAAGAUAUUAGCCACUUGGAGAUCAGAAGAGAUGUGAGGAAGAGAUAUCACCCGACUUUCCAAGGUGUCUCGAAUAGAAUGACAAUCAACCUCAAUGUGCUUGGUACGUACAUGAAAAAUGGGAUUGGUGCCAAUCUGAAUAGCACUAGUGUUAUCAGCAUGAAGAGGUGUAGAAGUAGUCUGAGGAAACCCAAGCUCCUUAAGAAGACCGCAUAGCCAUACAAUUUCAGAACAAGUAGUAGACAUGGCAUGAUACUCGGCCUCAAUAGAGGAUUUAGAAACACAAUCUUGUUUCUUACAUCUCCAAGAAAUUAAGGCAUCACCUAAAAACAUACACCAACCCAUAGUAGAUCGACGUGUAUUUGGACACCCACCCCAAUUAGCAUCACUAUAGGCAACAAGUUGAAGAAAUGAGCCGGUAGGAAAGAACAACCCACGAGUAGGUGAACCUUGAAGAUAGCGGAUGAUGCUUUGAACUGCAGCAAGAUGGAGAUGCCGAGGAGAAGUCAUAAAUUGACUGACCUGAUGAACAGCAUAGGAGAUAUCAGGUCGAGUAGUGAUCAAGUAGAUAAGAUUCCCAACUAGGCGCUGAUAGAGAGUAAGACCAUCCAGAAGGUCCCCUUUAUCUUUCCUAUAUUUGACAUUUACCUCCAUAGGAGUAUCAACAGAAGAAGUGUCUUCCAAACCAGCCAAAGUGAUAAGAUCUUGAAUAUACUUAUGCUGGUUCACGAAAAUACCAUUGGCCUGAUGAUGAACUUCCAAUCCUAAGAAGUAUGUGAGUUGUCCAAGAUCUUUCAUAUGGAAAGUUGUAUGUAACAACUGCUGAAGCUUAGUAAUCAAACUACAGUCAGUGCUAGUAAUGAUAAUAUCAUCCACAUAAACCAAGAGAAUGACUAUACUCGACGCAGACUUGUGGAAGAAGAAGGAAUAAUCAUAUUGACUUUAGGUAAAGCUGAAGGAAAGAAUUGUAUUGCGAAACUUCUCAAACCAAGCUCGGGGCGCCUACUUGAGCCCAUACAAAGAAUGAUUUAGCUUACAAACAUCAUGAGGAGAAGAAUUAGUCAUACUAGAGGAAAGCUUCAUGUAAAUCUCUUUUUAGAGAUCACCAUGAAGAAAAGCAUUCUUCACAUCCAUCUGAUGUAGUUGCCAUGACUGUGAAGCGACAAUAGCUAAGAUGGUUUGAACCGUGGUCAUUUUGGCAACAGGAGCAAAUGUCUCCUCAUAAUCAACCCCAUAUUCCUGCUUGUUACUCAAAGCUACGAGACGAGCUUUAUACCGGUCCAAAGAACCAUCAGAACGAAGUUUUACAGAGAAAACCCAUUUACUCCCAAUAGGUUUGACUGUAGGAGGACAAGGAACAAUAUCCCAAGUAUGAUUCUCCUUAAGUUCUUGAAGUUUUGCUUGCAUUGCAUUUUGCCAACACUCAUGUUCCAUGGCCUGUUUGUAGCAAGAGGGAAUAGAAAUAGUGGAUAAAGUAGCAACAAGAGAGACAGGAGAGAAGAAUCCAUACCAAUCAGGGGGUCGAGAAAGACGAGUAGACCGACGAAGAGUGGUGGAAGCAGAAUUAGGAUUAGGCGUCGGGUCAAGAUUGGAAGGGGGCACAAAGGAAGUGGAAUUGGACUCAUGUCGACUACGUCUUUCAUACCUAAAACCAGGUUUGAGCCCUUCCACAAUUGUUGGGGAUUCAGAAAAACUAGGCAGAAGGGAUAUUGAUGCAGAUGGCAGCUCAACAUGAGAUGGAAAGAAAUAUUGAUUUUCAAAGAAAAUUACAUUUCGGGAAACUCGUAUACGACGAGCAUGUGGAUCAUAACAAACAUAACCCUUGUGAAGGAUAGCAUAACCAAGAAAAACACACUUAAUAGACUGAACAGUAAGUUUAUGUCGUUCAUGAGUAGGUAGAUGCACAAAACAAACACAACCAAAUGUACGAAGAUCAGAAUAUAAAGAAGAAUGACCAAACAACUUAGAGAAAGGAGAAACAUGAUUUAACAUAGGAGAGGGUAAGCAAUUGAUCAAAUGAACUGCAGUAGAAAGUGCUUCACACCAAAAACGAGGAGGAAUCGAUGAAUCAAGUAAAAGAGUUUUUACCACAUCAAGAAGGUGGUGAUUUUUCCUCUCAGCAACAACGUUUUGUUGUGGUGUCGAAGGACAAGAACGCUGAGAGAUGAUCCCUUUGCUUUGAAGAAAGUCCUGAAGCUCAUUAGACAUGUAUUCUCCGCCAGAAUCAGAGCACAAGACCUUGAUGUUGGCAGAGAAUUGAGUCUCAAUAAGUGCAAGAAAUCGCUUAAAGACUGAAAAAACUUUAGCCUUAGCUCGGAGAAAGUAAACCCAAGUAAAGCGACUAAAGUCAUCAAUGAAAAUAACAAAGUACUUGUCAUGUGCAUGAGAAACAAUAGGUGCAAUCCCCCAAACAUCACUAUGUAUAAUAUUAAAACAUUGUGAGGCAUGAGAUGUAGAAUGAGGAAAAGGUAGAACUUUACUUUUGCUAAGUUUGCAUGAUGUACAAUCGAAAGAAAGAUCAAGAGAAGAACAUACUUUAAUUCCCAAUAAUCCAUAAUUAAACAAAGUACGAAGUACAUUAGAGUUUGGGUGGCCAAGAUGUCUAUGCCACAUCUUAUGUCCAGAACCAACAACAUUACAUGCAAAGGAAAGUAAAAGAAAACUAGGAAUAAUAGUGGAAGUAGAAACAUGAAGAGGAAAGAGUCGUCCCACUUUAGGCCCCUUUGCGAUUAUCUUCCCGGACACUUGAUCCUGCAUAACACAACCAGAACGGGAGAAAUUGACAUUACAAUUAUUAUCAACCAAUUGACGAACAGAAAGAAGAUUUGUGGAGAGGUUAGGAGACACAAAAACAUCAGUUAAGGAAGAGGAAAAAUCACCAACAACACUGAUAGGCAGAGAACUACCAUCAGUAGUGUUAAUUUUCAAAUUUCCAUCAUAAUUUCUGACAUUGGAAAGAUAAAGAACAAUAUUCGUCAUAUGGUUAGAAGCUCUAGAGUCAAAAUACCAUGGCUUAGAAGAAAUCGUAUGAUUACCUGAGAGCCUAAAACAGAAAAGCAGAAAUGAUCAUUUGUUGUACCAUUUCAGGAGUGAGUGUGUUCGGGUUUGCUAAGGCUGUAGGAGCAAGAAUAGGAACAACCAAAGAGGCAGUUGGCAAUGCAGUAGAACUAGAGGCACCGAUGGAGACAUGAUAAGCAGUACCCUGCUUUCUUUCAGGCCGAAUGGGAUAAGCAGAGAUGAUAUGACCUUGUUUCUUGCAGUAGUUACAAAACUUCUUGGGACAAUCCCGAGCAAUGUGACCAAAAUCUUUACAACUAAAGCACUGGACAGCCCGCAUAUCUCAACCCUUAUUUUGCCCUUGUGCUGCAUAAGCUACAGAAACGGGUGCACUAACAUUAGCCCGAUGUUCCAUGGUAGCUUGAGUUACAAUACGCUGCUCCUCACGCAAAAGUUCACUCAAGCAGACAUCUAGAGAUGGUACAGGAUGACGAUUCAUCAGAUUAGACUGUGCAAUUUCAAAGUCGGGUCGUAGCUUUAUCAAGAAUUGAUAUCUCUUGCUGGUUGUAUGCAUUGCUUGGACAGCAGAGAGAGCUGUAGCGGGAACAUUAGCAUAAACAAUGUCGGAAUAAUCAGUCCAAAGAGUUUGAAAACCAGAAAAAUAUUCCUCAAUUGAGAGACUUCCUUGUGUGAAAUUAGCCAUCUCAUACUAUAAUUGAAAACUCCUAGCAGAGUUGUCUUGAUUGUAAACCGUGUGGAGAUAAUUCCACAUAGCAGCAGCAGUUUUAUAAGGCCUCAGGUUGAGAACAAGGUGAAGUUCAACUGAGCUAAGGAUCUAGGUCAUAACCCGAGCAUCCUUAAUUUCCUACUUGGACAAAGCCUCGGUAUCACGAGGUGCAGGAUUACUCCCAUCAGUAUGACCCCAUAAUUCUUUUCCUUUGACAAAUAAUUUAAAUUGAAACUACCAAGCACAAUAAUUUUUGCCAGUAAAUCUAAUAGGAAACGAUUCCAACUUAUCUGAUGACAUGAUGCAACUGAGAAACAAAGGAAAUAGCCCACCAGAAAAUUGGAAUAGAAACGGCCAAGAUCUAGGUUGCGAUGAACUCGAUCAACACUAUUUUUUAUGCCAAGCAUUUGAUUGGUAGAAGAUCACGAACUCCACUCAGAAGGUGUCGAAACCUUGCUCUGAUACCAUGUCAAAAUACUAAAAAAAACUCCACAGAAACUGAGAACUCUGAGAACUCUGAUCAGUUUAUUGUCCUCCCAUCCAUCUAUAUAUAUAUAUAUAUAUAUAUAUAUAUCCUAUACACGGAGUCUAAAUUCCUUAAUUGUAUAUGGUAACAUUAACAAAUACAUGGUAAGCCAAUUUGUAAAUCUUUUCCUAUAUGUACAGCCAAUUUCAUUCCUAAUUUGUAUAUGGUAACAUUAACAAUAGCAAGAAAGAAGAACGUAUUAUGAAGAAACAUAAUCGAGAAUCGACAACAAUCAUACCUGAGCAAGUUUUCUCGAUUGAAGCUCACCCCAUUUCCAAGCUUUUUUCUUCUUUUCUUUUCAAAACAAAAUGGAUCUCACCUUAGCUUCUUCCUCAUACCUUUCGGUUUCUUCUUCCUAUUCCCUUUUGAUACCCAUUCUUCCCGUUUUUCUUUUCUCCCAAAACCUCACCUACUCCAAACUCUCUCACAUGUCUCUCUCCCGUCCCAUCUUCAGACUUCUUCUCUGCAUCCCCCUCUUCACCGUCCUCCCAUGUUCUUUAUUUUCAUGCAAGUUUCUACCGACUCUUUGCUUCAACCAUCAUUUCAUCUAUUUCGUUCUAGCCAUCCCCCUAUCCAGCUACUCCUCUAUAUGAAAUGCCUAGUUUACCCGGUCUCAAUGAGGGGUGGUAAAAAAAAAAAAAAAAAAAAACCUUUGGUUUAUAAUAGGGUCUACAAAUAUGCCCCUCUUCAGCAGAGUUCGCGAGUGUAAGGAAUAUGAAUACUAGAGUGAAAAGAAAGUGUGAAUAGUGAGUGGAAUGAAGUGAACUCUACAGAAGAAAAAGAAAGACUCUUAAAGGUACACAAGUAUAACACAAACUCGCUCAAACUAACAAAGGACCAAAAGGGGUUCUAAAAUCCUAAGAGAAUGAUAGCUCUCAGAGUGCCUCUAAAGCUGCGCUAUGGAUCCAGGCUCCCUCUAAGAUGCCUACCAAAGUGACUCGAAGAUCAAUGUCAAAGAUGAGUAAUGGUCAAACCACCUAGGAGUAUAGAAAAGAAUGCACCUAAAGGGGACUGCCCUACAUGAACUACAUGAGAACGCUAAGUGUAGGGUGUCGAACAACAUGACCGAAAUAUGUGUCGUGAACUCAAAGGACUAGGUCAUGUGCAGUGGAAAGGGGAGUAUAGAAGAGCAUGAUGAACAAGCGAUAAGCACAAGGUAAUGAGGUGAGGAAAAUGAGGAUGAAUGUAAAAUCGCGAAGACAAAAUGUACGAUGCUAGUGAAUAUGAAUGCCAAGAGCUAUGACUGUGAAUGAAAAGUUGGGGGAAAAAAUGAGUCUGAAUGCCAAAAAAGAGAAAAUGUGGUGACUCAAAAUGUCAGAAUGAGUACGCACAAUGGCUCUCAACAUCAAAACUAAAGAAAGAUGUUGACACCGAAUACCAUGCUGAACAAUGGCUCUAAAUGCCAAAAUGAAGAUGCGGCUUUGAACGCCAAACUGAAAGAGAUAUGGUGGAUCUGAACGCCUAACUGAAGAAAGACAUGAUGACUCUGAAUCCCGAACCGAAGACAUGACUCUAAAUGCCGAACCAAAAAAAUGAUAACACUAAAUACUAAAGACGAAGCUUUGAAUGCCCAAACUAAAUUGACAGAUCUUAACGCUAGGAAUGUAGCUCUGAAGGCCGAAAAAGUGGCAGUGAAUGCUCGAUUAUGAUAGAAUGGUGGCUCUACAUGCCUAACUAAAUAAAGACAUGAUGACUCUGAAUGUCGAACCAAAAAACUGAUAACACUGAAUACUAAAGACGAAGCUCUGAAUGCCCAAACUAAAUUGACAGCUCUGAACGCUAGGGAUGUAGCUCUGAACGUCGAAAAGGUGGCAGUGAAUGCCCAAUCGUAAUAGGAUGGUGGCUUUGAACGCCAAACUAAAGAAAGACAUGACGACUCUGAAUGCUAAACUGGAGAUGCGGCUCUAAAUGCCAAACUGAAAACAUGGCUCUGAAAGCUAAACUGAAAAGGUAUGGCGGUUUUGAACUCCAAACUGAAAAAGAUAAAGGCUUUGAACACCAUAACUGAGAAUUAACAUCUCUGAAUGUCAAACUGAGAAAGACGAAUUUGAACGUCGUAACUAAGAAACAAUGAUGACUCUGAACGUCGAGCUACAAUGAGAUGGUGGCUCUGAAUGCCAAACUGAAAAGAGAUGGUGGUUCUGAACGCCCAAACUGAGAAAAGAUGGUGGGCUUUAAACGCUGAGUUGUAAAGAGACGAUGACUCUGAAUGCCAUAACUAAAAAGAGAUGGUGGCUUUGAAUGCCAAACUGAAAAGAGAUGGUGGCUCUGAACACCCAAAUUGAGAAGGGAUGGUGGCUCUGAACGCCAAACUGAAGAAGAUGAAGGCUCUGAACGCCAUAAUUGAGAACCGACAUCUCUGAAUAUCAAACUGAGAAGGACGACUUUGAAUGUCGUAACUAAAAAGAUAUGACGACUUUGAAUGUCGAGCUAUAAAGAGAUGGUGGCCCCGAACGCCAUAACCAAGAAUGGAUGGUGGCUCCGAAUGCCAAACUGAAAAGAUAUGGUGGCUCUGAACACUCAAACUGAGAAGAGAUGGUGACUCUAAAUGCCGAAACUGAGAAGGAAUGGUGGCUCUAAACGUCGAAACUGAGAAGAGAUAAUGGCUCUGAAUGCAAAACUGAGAAGGAUGGUUCUGAAUGUCGUAACUAAGAAAAUAUGGUGGCUCUGAAUGUCGAUCUACGAGGAAAUGAUGAGGACGGAAAUAUACCCUAGUGUAGCAUGCCGCCACAACUCUCAAUCCACUGGAAGAGUUUGAAAGAAGCUCCCUGAGUCUCAAAAGAUGCUCUACUAGCUAGUCGGAAUGGUCAAAUCAACUAUAAAUAUGGCCUCAUAACCCAUCUGACUAAAUCGUGAGGCCUGACGAAAUGCCACAAUAAGUCAAACAUCUCUAACUCAAAAUGCUCUAUUGGAAGAAUCCAUCAUCAUCUCAAAUGAAUGAUCCAAUAGGGAGUCUCAAGAGAAUAGUCCGUCAGGGUAACUACCGCGACCUCAACACAAAAAUCUAUUGAAAAGUCAUGGAUAGCUGGGCAGCCAAAACCCAGAAGGUCGUGCUCAUUCGAAGGCUCAUCUCGGCCAAAAUCACCAAAACUGUGACCAAUAAUGCAAAGAAAUAUCUCUUGUUCAAGUAAUGAAGAUUGUAAAAGGUCUGUGAGAAAACAAUCAUCUCCAUAGCUAAAAGAGAUAAACAUGCCCCAGUAUAGCAAUUAGGGCAUUUUGUCUGUCCUGAUAACUCGAGAAUAACUCAAUGGGGAUGUGUAAGAGAUUUGACAUGUACUCCAUUGAAAUGAUGACAUGGGAGUCUAUGCGCCUGAGAUAACACUAUCACAGAAUCACGACAAUAUCAGAAAGUAUGAACCUGACUGAAUGACUCAAGAAAAGCUCCACUAGGGAAUCAUCGUAAAAUAAAAACAGAUCAUCAACUCGACAUGUAUCUCGUAAAUGAGGAUGAUCAUGCAAAUCAAUGGAUAUCUACAAAUCUCAACCAAAACAUAAAUAUGCCCCAAUAUGGCAUCAGAUGUGUGGUAGGUCGAAAAAUCAGAUGACACCAAAUCAUCCAUCACCAAGUGUGUAAUCCUAGUCAUCCACGUCCAUAACUAAAUCGGAUUAACAGCUCAAAGAAGUGUCUCCCAAAAGAAGAAACAUGAUGAUAUCUAAAUGCCAAAAAGUGUGAGCUUGAUUGGAUGGCCCAAGAGAGACUCCACUGGGGGAUUGUGAUAAGAUAACAAUAGGCUAUCAACUUAACAUGCAUCUCGUGAGUGAUAAGGAUCAUGUGACUCCAUGAAGAUCUACAAAUCUCAAACGAAAAGGAAAUAUGCCCUAGUAUGGUGUCAAAUGUAUGGUAGAUCAAAAAAUCAAACAACAUUGGAUCAUCCAUCAUCAAAUGUGCAAUCUCGGUCAUCUAUAACCACAACUGAAUCGGGUCCAAAUGUCAAAGAGGCAUCUCCUAGAAGAAAAAGCAUGAUGAUAUCUAAAUAUCAACCAAAUCUCAAAUACCUGUCCAAGUAUGGGCUAUCAAAGACGACAUCUAAUCUUAUGGCCUCAAGGUGGUCUUAAGACACUGUAUGUAAUGUAGGCUAGGGUGAUAAGAUAAUAGAAACAAAGGAAAACUAGGCCUAAAUACCCAAUGAUCACAAUAUGUAUAGAAAAUCUCACGAGCCAUGGACUUAAGGAUCCCCAAUGUGAAUAUGGUAACAAUAAUGAGGUAGUGAAGAAAAUCGAACUGAUAAUGAGAUGCGUAAGGAUGACGCAAGGGAAAUAUCAAACCUGAAAUAGGUUAGUGUAAGAAAAAAACAAGAGGGUGAAACAAAUGGGAUGAAUCAUAAGCAAUGACAAGGAUGAUAGCAAAACAAUGAAUAUACGAAGAAAAGUGAUGAUCAACUCAAAUCAAACAUGGAGUGAAGUCACAUUAACAAUGAAUGUAAUGAUGGAAAGGACAAUGACCUAGAGCUCCUAGGAGAAGGCCACUCAUCUCACUCUCAAAGAAAUAUGACAAAGUGAAUACAAAGAAAAGAGAAUCUUAGAAAGCUCACAUACAAAGUCUCAACAACAAACAUACUCGAUAAAAUGACCAUCAAAUAUCAAUAUACAAGCUCAAUGAUGGAGAAUACUAUGCACAUACACACAUGUGCUUAUUUUUCUUUUCUUUUCAUGUUUUUUUUUUUUUACAUAUAUACAAAUACACAUACCUUGAACAUAAACAAAUGAACCCCAAAUAUGAUAUCAAUAAUGGAUAGACACACUCUCAAGUGCUAAGGAAACAAAAACUUUCUCUAAGGAGAUGAACUUCUCAAACUAAAGAUCUUUAAAUUAGUGUCCGUGGGAUAGAUAGUGAAAAUGAUGUGACUAUCCUCCAUGUAAUGAAUUAAGGAGGAUCACCACUCAGGGUGGAGAGAAAAUGAAGCAAAAUAAGCAUUAGUAGAAUAAAGAAAAAGAGAUGAAGAACACAACCAAUGAGAUAUGAAGGAAUGUAGUAGUACGAUGGUAGGAAAAAUAAUGAGAGAAUGAUGUGCCCGUAGGCCUAAGGCUCAUGAAACUCCUGAAUGAAGCAUGCAUACACUAAAGGGCCCCUAUCCCAGUUGAUUACUACCCAAAAAGUGCUAUUUUGCACCUUUAAUUCAUUAUGUUUUAAGCACUUUUGUAUAGUAGUUCUCCAUUUUUAUUCCAAUUGGCAUGUUAAGGACUUAGCAAUGACUUCUAAUCAUAUUUGUGGCUAGUUUUAGUGUUUUGACAGCUUUUUGGAUCAUUAAGACAAGCCAAGUAAAGGAGAGAAGCAAAGAGGAAAAACAGAGCAAAGAAGCAGUUUUUGUAGCUGUGCACUAUCACUUUGGGAGGCUCUAUUUUGUUCAUCGUGCAAAAUCACCUUUCAAGAAUCCCAUAUUCGGAACCGGCUCGGAAUUGCUGACAAAUCAAGUACCUAUAGUGGUAUAUUUCCAUUCGUAUAAGGAGCUCAAAAUGGCAAAUUUCGCACUUUGUACUAUUCAUGCAAGUGCGAAUUUCGCACCAGCCCAUGCGAGUGCGAAUUUUGCACCUUGUAUUGUUCAUGCGACUUUGGUGCGAAAUCUCCUCUGUUCUGACGACUCCACAUGAGAUCUUUUCUUUUGUAUUUUUUGAUGUAAAUUCCUUUCUUAUCCCUGUAAUUAGCCAAUCACAGGCUUUGCUUUGUAAAGACUAUAAGAGGGGUGGAAAUCAUCUCUCGGAGGGGACUUUUUUAUAUUUUACACUGAGUGAAAUUUUCCUCUUGGGGAGAAAUACAGAGCUCUCUUUGCUUUCCUUUUCUCUCUUCUAUUUUCUUUUUCUUGGAAGCCAAACAACCUCUGAGGAUGUUUUCCCAGAGGAUGAGAGGCUAAACCUUUGGUUUCUUGGAGUGAAGGAAGCUAGGUGAAAAGUCCAGAUGCAAAAGUGGAAAACUCUAGUGCCUUAAAUACAGGUAGUUGGAGUUCAUAAAUGGCUUUUAAAUCUAAAGUUUUGCUUUAAAUCCCUUAGAAUCACUUUGAAUGACCAAUACAUGAUAAGCUUUUAGGUCUCUGUGGAUACUUAUUGCUAGAUCCACAAAAGACCAUUAGUUAUCAUGUACGAGCCAUUGGAAAGUGGCUCAAGGUGAAGACCCAUAGUGUCUAAAGCCAUUAAUGGAACUUGACUACCAUUUCUAUUGACUUUUUAUGGAUUAAAUCUUCAUUGUUAAACCUAUACUGGUUCGGGAAACAACCAUCCUUUAUGUUGUUGUCCCCAAUACGAGGAGAAAAAUCCGGAAUUUCCCACUUUGCAUUCUGAACUUGAUCCUAGCAACUUUUAGCUCCGGGAGACUUUCUUUCUUCCAUUUUUACCUAGUUCUAUGUUAGUUUAGUUCCAAACACCACUUUCAAAACAAAUUUUGUUUUCUUUUAAACUUUAAGUUUCUGACAAAGGAAAUCAUCAGAUUCAAUUUCUAAUCUUGAGUCUAUCACUGGUAGAGUGAAAACCCAUCCCAGAGUUUGACCCUAGAGCUGCUAUACUAUAGUAGCUUUGCUACGCUAGUAUAAGGUCAUAGGAUUUAUAAACAUUUUUUAUUAAAAUACCCAACUGGGCACGAAUCACCAGUGCAGAAAUGUAAGCAAGGCAAUAAGAAAGAAAGACUCUGAUGCAUAUGCGAGACUCAAUGGGCUAGCAACGGUCUGUAUGUCAAAAAGGAAUAACAAGGUAUAUUGCUAACCGAAAUGAUGGCCGCCCAUCCUACGACCAUGGUCUCAAACAUAAUAUUUCUUUAGCUGAUCUACAUUAGUUGACUCCAAGAAUCGGUUUCCAUCUAGAUCCAUCAACCAUGUAACGCCAUCUGGGGUCAGCUCCCUAAUGAAAUAAGGUCUGCUCCAAUUAGGUCUAAACUUCCCUCCGGGAUCUCUGAUCAAUCCCUUGAUGACCUUUAGAACCAAGUCACCUCUCUAUAGCGAUCUAGGCUUGACCCGCUUUUUGAAUGCAUGGGCCAUCUUCCUCUGAUAAGCACGAACAUGGUCUGCUGCCCUCAAUCUCCUCUCAUCUAGGAGAUUGAGCUGGUCUAAUCAAGCCUAGGCCUAAUCUACCUCCGAAAUUUGCUGCUCCAAUGCUACCCUCAACGAACCCAUCUCUAUCUCAACUGGUAGCACUGCCUCCAUACCAUAUACUAAGGAGUAAGGUGUAGCUCCUAUAGAGCUGCGAAAAGAAGUCCGAUAAGCCCAUAAUGCAAACGAAAGCUUCUUUGACCAAUCCCGAUAAAUCUCAAUCAUUCUCCGUAAGAUCCUCUUAAUAUUCUUAUUCACAGCCUCUACCAUUCCGUUUGUCUGCGGCCUGUACGCCAAUGAUCUAUGAUGCUGGAUCUUGUAUCCCUGUAGUAAAGUGUCAACAUCUGCUCUGAAAUGCACUCCUCUAUUUGAAAUCAGCUCAUGAAGGACUCCAUAGUGACAGAUAAUGUGUGAUCUGAUGAAACUAGCAACCCUAGAUGAUGUCAAUCUUGCAUAUGAAGCAGCCUCCACCCACUUGGUGAAGUAAUCAAUGGCGACCAAGAUGACCUCAUGACCACUGGAAGACUUCGGUGAAAUCUUCCCAAUAAUAUUUAUACCCUAUACUGAAAAUGGUGAUGGCGAAGUCAAUGCAUGUAACUGAUUACUACUCAAAAAGGGCUAUUUGAUAGCUUGUAAUUAACUCUUUUAAACACUUUUGAGUAGUAAUUAUUGCCCUUUAACCCAAUUAACAUAUUAAGGACCUUUGCAAUCACUUCUAAUCACUUUGUGUAAGUUUUGGUGUUUUUGUUAGUAAUUUGAUCACCAAAGCAAUCCAAGAUGGAGGAGAGUUAUUUGGAAUCCAUGGUAAAGCAAUAGAAAGCUCAGGAACAUGAAGAAUCAGAGAUUUGAAGCCUUAAAGUCCUUUGCCAUAACCAAUCUGGAUUGCAAGGAGGAGAAGUAAAGAGAGAAUCCACCUUGAAGCAUUCUUGAUGACAGUCAUUUCAGCCACUUUUGGAGUACUUCCUGAAGUCCAAUUUAUGCAUACUUUAUGUCGUUUCGAAGAUCGGGAAGUCAACAAUCCAAUGCUUCAAACGGUUCGCAAAUCAGAGUUGAAAUGAAGAAGUUAGAGCCAAUGGAAGCAGAUCACUCCAAGCUGAAGGCCAAUUUCGCAGGGCUGCGAAAUCAGCCUUUGGCUGCGAAAUCAGCCUUUGGCUGCGAAAUCAGCCUUCGGCUGCGAAAUGAUUUCGCAGCCAUCUUGUUCAUCUGCGAAAUUUCGCAGCCAUUUUGUGCGCCUGCGAAAUUCUCCCGAGUGCUUCCAGAUAUUUGCGACCAUCGUUUUUUGUUAUUUUGCCUCAGAUAUUUGUUGUCUAAAUGCCAAUUCUCUCCUUGUAAUCCACCAAUUAGAUGAUUCCUUAGUUGUUGAGCAAGGAUGCAGGGGUAAACAACCUGAUAUGUAUUGUUUUGUAAUUUUCACUUUAAAAGGUCGGGGAACUUUCCCCAGGAGACGAACUUAUGUAAAUUUUACACUUAGUGAAAUACGAAAUAUCUUUUGCUUUCUUUUUCUCUCUACUACUUUCUAUUUUCUUAGUAGCCAAACAUCCUUGGAGGAUGAAAUCCCCAAGGAUGAGAGGCUAAGACCUUUUGGUUUCUUGAAGUAAUGGAUGCCAUGUGAAGCUCCCGUGUCAGGAUGGAGAUUUCCAAGCCAUGAAUGUAAGUAGUUGAGCAUCAUAAAUGUUUUCAUCCAAAGUAAAACUUUUAAUCCCUCUGACUUGCUUUGAAUGGCCAAUACUUGAUAACCUUUUGGUCUCAGUGGAUUCUUAUUGUUAGAUCCACUGACGUUCAUUAGUUAUCUCCUACGAGCCAUUGUAUUGCAAGUCGAGGAGAUGACCUAUUUCAUUAAAAGAGCAUUUAUGAGGUUCAGCUACCCUUUUUGUAAGUUUUGAAGGACUAAAACUCAGUUGUUAAACACAUACCGGUUCGGGAAGUAAGCAUCACCUGAGUUGCUUCCCCAACUCGAGGUGAAAAGUUCCAAAAUCUCCAUUUUUACACCGUGAGUUAAGCAUGGCUAUCCAAAGCUUUGAGAAACUUAUUUUUCUAUCUUUUAACCUAUUUGCAUGUUAGUUUAGUUUACAACACUUUCAUCUUUUUAUGUUUUCAUCUUAACCUAAUUUUUAUUAAGAAAAGUUCACUCCAUCCUCCGAACUUCAUCAGUUAAAGUAAAAACCCUUCCCAGUGUUCGAUCCUAGAGCCACUAUGCUAUAGUAGCUUUGCUACUUUAGUGUAAGGACGUUAGGUAUAAAUUUUGUUGAUACCCUUACAUGCCAAGCUACCAAGAGUCGGGUUAUCAGGCAUAUCUGCAAAUCCAAUGUUAGCGUACCCAAAACCUCUCUACUUGUACUGUCAUAGGCCCGAACUGUCUGAGAAGAUGGCUUAAAGUUUGAAGGUCCGAAGCCAAGAGCGACUACUGUGGCUAGCGAGCAAAUGUUCAAGGCAUAGCCAUUGUCUAAGAGGACAAAUGGAACUCGAUGCCUAGAACAACCAACAAAAAUGUAGAGAGCGAGGUAGAGUAUGGUUAAAACCUCUAGGGGGUAGAUCAUCAGCAGAGAAGACAAUGCAUGUGGCCCUAUCAGCUGUCAACAUGUGGAUCAAUUCCUCACGAGAGGUAGAUGUCUUAACUCGUAUUUGACUCAAUGCCCUGACUAGUGCCUCCCGAUGGGAUGUAAAUGAUGCAAAAAGACUCUAAAUGGAGAUGCGGGCCCGAGUGCUCUAGAGCUGCCUUAAAAUCUCAUCAUCCUCUUGUCUAGUCUCAUCUCAAGUAGCGUCACUCUCUAAAGGUCUAGUAACUGUGGGAGGCUGCUAUUGUACCACUCUCUCCCCAUAGAUGACAUACUGAACAUACUGAGCAACCGUCUCAUCAGGAUCUCUAUUCAAUAUAAACAGAGACUGAAUGUUAUAGCAUAGGUAAAUCAAUGGCCCAAUCGUGGUCAACUGCAAUGGUGGCAUGCCAGGGACCAAUCUAAAUGGUGCAGAUGCCUGUAAGUUUGAGAUCACUCCAUCAACCUCAUAGUUCUCAUCCACUACUAUGGGCUCCGGCUCAUAAUCAUCCCAACUCAACAUGUGAAUGCGAUCAUUAGGCUUAGUGAAAUCCAUGAAGUGUAUACUACUAGCUGGUGGAGGGACUGCAUGUGUAGUAUGGAUCGGUAAUGGGUUAGGGUUACACUCAGCUGACCCAAGUGAACCAAACCCUAAUCAAUCGAGUCCCAAAUGACAUGUCUUAGAGCAGGACAACGAUCAGUCUCAUGCCCUGGCCCCUAAUAAUAUGCGCAAUAUAAAUCCAUCCUAAACUGUGGCGGGAUGGGUUGAGGCAAUGACCUAGAAGUAAGAUUUGUCAACAAUCCAGCCUCAGUGAGCUUCUAAAGAGCCUGGAUCAACGACAUACCCAACUGUGAAAACUGUCUCUACGUCCUCAAAGCAAAAUGAGUGGAAGUUUGUGGAGCUCUAGGUCUGAGAUAGGAAGCUGGGGGUCUCGCGGCAAUUUGUGCUGCGUAGCAUGGCUAUAUGGGGUAGAAUAGGAAGCUGGAGGUCUCUCUGUGCCUUGUGCGGCGUAAUAAGGCAGUGCUAGUGUGGAAGGCAAGUAGGCCUCAUCAUAUGACCGUGGAGGUGCUUAUGACCUAUACUGUUGAGGUGGUGGUGAGUAUUAGGGUCCAGAAGUCUACCCAAUUGUUUGAUAGCGUCUAGGAGGUCUCAACCCUACUGAACUAACAACACAAACAUCUCAUGAUCUCUGUCAUCCUAAAGACUUCUUCCCUUUAGAGUCAGUAGGGAAAGACUCGGACCAUAAUCCUUUAGCUAUGCUCUCCUCUAUACCAUACAAUGCCUGCACCAAAAAGCCAAAGUCAAUAUGAGGAAAUCCCAUCAAGUGCCUAGCAAAUCGAGGCUGGGAGCUUCUCACGAUCAUACUAAUCUGAUCCCUCUCAGAUAGCCUAUCAAUAACCUAUGUGAUUACUACUCAAAAAGUGCUAUUUUGUAGCUUGUAAUUAACUCUUUUAAACACUCUUGAGUAGCAAUUAUUACAUUUUAACUCAAUUUACAUGUUAAGGACCCUUGCAAUCGCUUCUAAUCAAUUUGUGUUAAGUUUUGGUGUUUUGAUAGCUUUUUGAUCACCAAAGCAAUCCGAGAUUGAGGAGAGUUGUUUGGAAUCUAUGGAAAAGCAAUGGAAAGCUCAGAAACAUGAAGAACCGAAGCUUUGAAGUCCUUUGUCAUAAGCAAAUCCGGAAUGCAAGGAGAGGAAGCAAAGAGAAAUCUGCCAUGAAGCAUUCUUGAUGACAGUCAUGUCAGCCACUUUUGGAGCACUUCCUGGAGUCCAAUUUAUACAUUCUAUAUACCAUUUCAAAUCUCAGGAAGUCAAGAAUCCAAUGCUUCAAACGGUGCGCAAUUCGGAGUUGAAAUGAAGGAGUUACAGCCAUUGCAAGCCGAUCACUCCAAGCUGAAGGAAGAAUUUUGCACAGCGUUGCGAAAUCACCCUUUUGUUGCGAAAUGAUUUCGCAGCCAUUUUGCACAGUGCUGUGGAAUUCCUCCUGAAGUUUCCCGAUAUAUGCGACACGUUGGAAGCUGAGCACCGCAAGCUGAAAGCCAACUUCGCAGCGCUGCAAAAUCAGCCUUUUUCUGCGAAGUGAUUUCGCAGCCCUUUUUGUGCAUCUGCGAAAUCUCGCAGACCUCGUUUUCACCUGCGAAAUGGUCCUUAGUGCUUCCCGAUAUUUGUGCACCGACUCUUUUAGAUCUUUUCUUCAGAUAUUUUUGUAUAAAUUUCCAUUUUCUCCUUGUAUUCAACCACUCAUAUAAUUCCUUAGCUAGGAAGUAUCCAAGGAAGGGUAAAUUACCUUCCUAUAUAAACUCUCUUGUAAACACUAAAAAGAGGACUCUCGGGGAGUUUUAACCAGGAGAUCCAUAUAUAGAAGUAUGUAAUAUAGAUAGAUAUAUAAAUAUAUAGAAUAUACAGAGCCUUGCUCUGUUUUUCCUUCUCUUUCAUUUUCUUUUUCUUUUUCUUUCUAGCCAACCAAACUCUGAGGAUUUUUCCUCAGAGGAUGAGAGGCUAGGCUCUUUGUCUCUUGGAGUGAAGAAAGCCGGGUAAGUUUCCGAAUGAAAAAUUGGAAGUUUUGUUGUUUUAGUUUUUAAUGAAGAGAAAGUGUGACCCGUUAAUGGUUUUUAUCUUUUUAGUUAAUGGUUUUUAUCUUUUUAGUUAACUUAAAACGCCUUUAAAUCACCUGGGCCAAUACUUGGUAAGGCAAGUGAUCUCCAUCCAUGGAGAUUCACUAGUUUAUCUUUUGCGAGCCUUUGGGAGGUGGUUUGAAGGUAGGAUUUUCUAGAAUAGCCAACACUUGGUAAGCUUUUGGACUCCAAGGAGACAUCCAUUAGUUAUCUCUUGCGAGCUUUUGACGGGUAAUCCAAGGUUAAAGAUCACCUUGAAUGGCAAGUGCUAGGUGAGAGGUAUGAGCCAUUGCAAGAUGCAUCAGUGAGAGGGAUUUAGUGUUUGAACCCAUUAAUGGGAGGCAUCUGUACAGCACCGGUUAGAGAAUUAACUAUAUGUUAAUUCUCUAAUGCGAGGAAAAGAAACAAGUGACCAGAACUCUCCUUUUUGUAUGAGGAACCUGAGCCUAGUGAUCUGAACUCCAAGAAACAUUUUUCUUUGUAAGUAAAAUCAGUUACUAUUUUUGGUUAGUUUAAAUUUAAACCUUUUUCAUUCAAACAUCUUUAUGUUUUCUUUUAAAGCUAACCUUGAAAUGAAAAGACACCAAUUCAACUUUGAAUUAAUAUCAUUUGCAAAGUGAAAACCCAUCCCAGUGAACGAUCCUAGAGCCACUAUGCUAUAGUAGCUUUGUCUUUGCUACCCUAGUAUAUGGUGUAAUAGGUUAUAAAUUUUGUUGAUUAAUCCCUCAAUCAAGGAGCACCAGCUGGACACGAAUCAGCUGAGACACCAAUUGGGCACGAAUCACUAUGAAAUCUUUUCCCUCCAACGGGAGAUAAAUGAGGUGAUUGACUCCUCUGGCCUCUGCCUUAAAGCCUCCAACUCUUUCCUCGAAACAUCAAUGACAGUGUUAAAUGCAAACUGUCUCAAAAACUCCUAGGCCAAAUCAUCCCAAGUCCGACGGCGUGAUACAUCUAAUGAAGCAAACUAGCGCUGUGUCGCACCACUCAAGGACAUAGGGAAAAACAUAACCAUCUAGGUCUCAUCCAGUCCAUAGACCCUCAUAAUCAUACUGUAAAGCCUCAAAUGGAUGUGAGGACAGCCAAUGCCCGUGUAUCUCUCGAUCUUAGGCAUCCUAAACUUGGCCGAUAAAUUGGCCACCGGUGCUCCAUCAAAAUCCUCCCAAAUAAUAGCUCCAUCUGAAGCCCUCAUCUGCCUCAACCUCUACUCAAAUUUAUUCAUACGUGCAUGUGGGUCCUCUGAGGUCGGGAUAGGUAAUGCGAUAGGAGGCGGGGCAACCUCGGUCUAACUAUGUAGAGUGAAAGGUAUAGCUGUGGUGUUGAUUCACUGGGUGGAGGGGGUGGGGGUACUAUAGGGUCGUAUUGUGUGCCAUCCUGAGGUGAGAGCUAUUGGGUCUGCUGCCCAUCUAUUAUUUGGCAGAGGCUAGCUAUAGUCUCUUGAAUCGAAGCCAUGGCCGAAGCAAAUUGAUCAACUGUAACCACCUACGAAUCCAUAUCCCUCUUAUCUGAUCUCUGGUCUGAAUGGUCUGAUGCUCUGAUCAAUCUACCCCUAACUUUGAUCCAAGAAGCUGAACCCAGAUCGAAUGUAUCAAUACUCCUACAAUAGUGGAAAUACUAAAUAAGAUACGGUGUAAGAGAAACUCCAUAAGGAAUGUCUAUCAAAUAUGCUGAAAGGUAACCCGAAAGUAAUCAAACCGAUAUCCAAUUCUGAGCAAAUAUAUAAGAGAGUACUACAAAGGUAACUAAACCUAUCACUACUGACCCGGCUCUAAAGGCCCACAGAUGCACCCACAUGCAGGAAAGGAAAUCCUGAUCGAAGAAUCUAAGGCUCAACCUACAAGGUCAAGGCGGCUCUAAAAAGAAAAGAGGUGUUCUUUAAAGGAUCCCUAAUAGAACUGAUCAUACCCUCCGAUGGUACGCAACCCUCUGCACACCUCUGAAGAGACAGGACGCUUCCAUGCAAGGUGGUCAUCAUUUCCACACAUGUACUACCUUGACAUCCUAGGGGGUUUCCUAUGGUGAAAACUGUCAUAACUCUUAGCACUCAGUAGUUGACUAAAGUGCACAGUGAGUGGUGUAGGUGCAUUCGAAAAUCGUAUGAAGCUAAAGUAGAAAAAAAAAAAAAAACAGACUGAUCACAUAAAUAUCCCUAAAAUCUAGCUCUAGGCUAUACAAGUCUUCAAAGGUCGGACUUCAAUCAGCAUCAAUGUGUCAGCCACCUCCAAAAUGCUCCCAAACAUAGAUAUAACCCAUCUUUAGACUCUACUCCUAAUCACUAGCUCAAUCGAAGAGCAAAUAAAGCAACAAGUCUCAUAUCAAAUACGAGAUCAAGGAAAACUAGUUUGAUUGAGACUAGGAACUUGGAGAUAAGAGGAUAGGUGUGUGUCCCACACAGAUAAGCAACUCAUGUAAUCACACGAAAUAAGAGAAGUCAUGCAACAGACAGUCAUGCAAAGCAUAUGUAUAUCACUCAAAUCUACACACAAGCUAGGCAUGAAUAUGAUAAUCGAGAUGAAUAUCUAGCAAGGAUAGCAUGUUCCAUGAUAAUCAAGAUAAUAUACACCAAGAGAAUCAAUCAUGCCAAGAUGAAUGAGAUAAGAAACAAGAAUAAUGUACAUGUCAAGGUGAGCAGAAUAAUCAUGGCAAUAGCAUAAUCGAUCAAUAUCAUUAGCAUGGAUAUAGCGGACAAGCAUGAAAAAUUGUCAUAUCAAAAUCCUCAAUGUGCUAUGAUCACUUAAGUAUAAAAAAGCAUAGAGGGAAUGUAUCCGUUAAUUGCCUAAUCAAACGCCACAUUUGCCUCAUCUUAAGUUCAAGUUUGACCUUCUAAACAUUCCCCAACGGAGUCGCCAUUUGUGGACCCCGAAUUUUGCUCGAUGCGUUCCCAUUUGAUGACGAAACUCGGUUUUUUAUUUAUUUAGUGAAAAUAUGAUUUUUAGAAAAGACUUGGAGUCGUCACUUAUUUUUGUUUUAUUUUUAAGGGAAAACAAAAUAAGAAAGAAAGCCCUAAGUAUGACUCUUUAUUUGGAAAAGACAAUCUGUGGAAAACCGAGUCUGGGUUCGAGGGUUAGAUUACUUGUUGGGAAGGUACGGUAAAGACCGUAGCACCCCUCUAAGCCCCUAAAAAUGGGUUUCUACUAAAUAAGGUGAAGCAAACGUGGCGAUUGAUAAGGAAAUCAAUGGAUAUCAAUAAAAUGAUCAAAUAAUAAAAUGAAUCAUGCGUAAGAAUAAGCAAAAUAAGAGUAGGAUCGUACCUUAGCAGCAAGUAAUAGUGCGCUAUCAUGGAAACAAGGUUAGCUCAAGUAUAAAAUCAUCACAUGCAUAUCAAAGAGCAAGACAAAGAUAAAGCAAUAUUCAUUAAGCAUGACAAUUGGCAAUCAAAAAAGAAAACUCAUAUGUAGGGCCCCCACCAAAGCCCAAUUUAUUUUGCAUGUGUUGGAAAUCAAGCCAGCAUCCUCUAUUUACUUCCCUAAUUAGUGUAAUGUACAGCCUUUAUUAUAAUUGAUUUAGGAGUAAUUCUAGCAAGGUAGUUUAUUCACUUUCCAUGUAAGAGUAGUUUAUUCACUUUCCAUGUAAGAGUAGUUUAUUUACUUUCUAUGUAAGAGUAGUUUAUUUAAUUCCCAUGUAAGAGUUUAUUCACUUUCCAUGUAAGGGAAAUUCCAUUCCAGAAUUGUCUCAUAUCCAUAGGCUAUUUAUUUAUGCUUUCAUUCAUUGUAAAGGGAGGUAUCACAGAAUGAAUUGAGGUGUUCCUCCAUAUUUUGUCUUCAAAUUCCUUCAUAUUUUUCUUCAAAUUCUUCAUGGUAUCAGAGCAGUUUAAUCCUGUCUCAUCGUCUCAUCUUUAGUCAGUUUUUUUACUCNNNNNNNNNNNNNNNNNNNNNNNNNNNNNNNNNNNNNNNNNNNNNNNNNNNNNNNNNNNNNNNNNNNNNNNNNNNNNNNNNNNNNNNNNNNNNNNNNNNNAAAUGACAGUUGGUAGUAAUUCUUUUUCGGUUUCAUGUCAAAAUAACGAUAAUGCAAUUAGGUUGUGGCACUAUCGCUUAGGUCAUCCAAAUGUUAUGUAUCUCAAGCAUUUAUUUCCUUCAUUAUUUAAUAAAAAUCCACAAUCCUUUGAGUGUGAAAUCUGUCAAUUAUCAAAGCAAGUCCGGUCUCAUUUUCCCAUUCAACCCUAUAAAGAGUCUAGUCCAUUCUCAAUGAUUCAUAGCGAUAUCUGGGGUCCAUCAAGAAUAAAAAAUGUAACUGGUACUAGGUGGUUUGUCUCAUUCAUAGAUGAUCACACUAGAUUAACUUGGGUAUUCCUCAUGAAAGAAAAAUCUGAAACGAGUCAAAUUUCAAAAAUUUUAAAAAUAUGAUUCAAACCCAAUUCCAGUCAAAAAUAUAAAUUCUAAAGUCUGAUAAUGCUAGGGAUUAUUUCAACUCCAUUCUAGGAGAAUUUCUAGCACAAGAAGGGAUAGUUCACUUAAGUUCAUGUGUUGAUACCCCACAACAAAACGGAAUCGCUGAAAGGAAAAAUAGGCAUUUGUUAGAGGUGGCUAGAUCACUAAUGUUCUCCAUGAAUGUUCCAAAAUUAUUCUGGGGGCAAGCUGUCCUUACGGCAACCUACCUCAUCAAUAGGAUGCCGUCUAGGGUACUAAAAUUCCAAACACCUUGUCAAACACUCUUAAAAUCCUUUCCGACUACUCGUCUCAUCUCCACCAUCCCACCCAAAAUUUUCGGGUGCUCUGUCUUUGUUCAUAUCAAUCAACAACAUAGAAGUAAACUUGAUCCUAGGUCACUCAAGUGCAUCUUUCUUGGGUAUUCUUCAAAUCAAAAAGGGUAUAAGUGGUACUCUCCGGUCACAAGAAAAUUCUACAAUUCAAUGGAUGUCACCUUUUUUGAAACCCAGCCUUACUAUCCCAAAAACGAUAUUCAGGGAGAGAAUUCAACUCAGGAAUAUCAAUUUUGGGAUCUUGAGUCAUUCAGUGAGUCACCCAUCACCACUGAAAAUCACAUUCCUCCAGAGUCAUUUAAUCAACCCGAGUCCAUUGUUGACUUGUGGGAUAAGGAGCACAUCCAAGAGGAAACGAAGGAAAGAGCACUUUCUCAACAAACCCAUGAGGCAGAACCGGGUCCUAAUCCAAGCAAACUUCCAGGUAACAACGCUCCUGAUGGUACUGUUGAUUCCGAGUUAGAAAAUGAUAUUCUUAAUAUGCCCAUAGCUUGGAGGAAAGGAGUUAGAUCAUGCACUCAGCAUCCCAUUGGAAAUUUUAUUUCUUAUGAUAAGCUAUCACCUACGUUUCGUGCAUUCACUUCUAGCAUCACAGAGAUACAAGUUCCUCAGAAUAUUCAAGAAGCUUUCAAGUAUCCUAAGUGGAAGGCGGCAGUCGAUGAGGAAGUUCGGGCGUUGGAAAAGAAUGGUACGUGGGAAAUUACUGACCUCCCAAGAGGUAAGAAACCAGUUGGGUGUAAGUGGAUUUUCACAGUAAAGUACAAGGCAGAUGGUAAUGUGGACAGGAAUAAGGCUCGGUUGGUCGCCAAAGGAUUCACCCAAUCCUAUGGCAUUGACUAUCAAGAAACUUUUGCUCCAGUUGCCAAGCUCAAUACUGUUCGUGUACUUUUAUCCUUGGCAGCUAAUCUCGAUUGGUCGCUUCACCAACUUGAUGUGAAGAAUGCCUUCCUCAAUGGUGACUUAGAGGAAGAAGUUUACAUGGACAUUCCUGUUGGACUUGAGGCGACAUCAAAUUUCAACAAGGUUUGCAGACUUCGAAAAUCCUUGUAUGGUCUUAAACAAUCUCCCAGGGCCUGGUUUGAACGGUUCACUAAGGUAGUGAAAGGGUACGGAUUCGUUCAAUGUCAAUCCGAUCACACAUUAUUUGUGAAACACUUCCCAGAAGGAAAACUGGCAAUUAUCAUUGUAUAUGUGGACGACAUAAUUUUGACAGGUGAUCAUGAAGAGAAAAUUGACUUACUUAAAAAAUUACUGACAAAGGAAUUUGAGAUCAAGGAUCUUGGAAACCUCAAGUACUUUCUCGGAAUGGAGAUUGCUAGGUCAAAGAAAGGUAUAGCAGUCUCACAACGCAAAUACGUUCUGGACUUAUUGAAUGAAACAGGAAUGCUAGGAUGCAAGCCGGCAGAAACACCUAUGGAUACAACUGUCAAACUGGAAGAAAGUGAUGGAAGUGCGCCAGUUGAUAAAGGAAGAUAUCAACGUCUUGUGGGGAAACUCAUCUAUCUUUCUCAUACAAGGCCAGACAUCGGCUUCUCCGUUAGUGUGGUAAGUCAAUUCAUGAAUAAUCCAACCGAAAAACACAUGACUGCUGUGAUCAGAAUAUUGAGAUACCUCAAGAUGACACCGGGAAAGGGUCUCUUCUUUCAAAGAACAACAAAGAAAGAGAAUGAAAUUUUUUCAGACGCAGAUUGGGCAGGUUCAGUGACUGAUCGGAGAUCAACUUCAGGCUAUUGUUCAUUUGUCUGGGGGAACUUGGUUACAUGGCGAAGCAAGAAACAGUCAGUGGUAGCCUGUAGCAGUACUGAGGCAGAAUUUCGUGCUAUGGCACAAGGUAUCUGCGAGGGAAUCUGGUUGAAUAGGCUGUUAGAAGAAUUACGGGUUCCAUUGAAGCAUCCCAUGGUGUUAUAUUGCAACAAUCAAGCUGCCAUCAGUAUCGCUAAGAAUCCGGUUCAUCAUGAUCGAACUAAGCACGUGGAGAUAGAUCGACACUUUAUCAAGGAAAAGAUUGAAGAAGGAGUUUUCAAAGUCAGCUACACUCCGACAAACUGUCAAACGACUGACAUUCUCACAAAAGCUCUUGCUCGAGUUAACUUCGAAGAUCUGACAGAAAAACUUGGAAUGAUCAACAUCUACAACGCGGCUUGAGGGGGAGUGUUGGAAAUCAAGCCAGCAUCCUCUAUUUACUUCCCUAAUUAGUGUAAUGUACAGCCUUUAUUAUAAUUGAUUUAGGAGUAAUUCUAGUAAGGUAGUUUAUUCACUUUCCAUGUAAGAGUAGUUUAUUCACUUUCCAUGUAAGAGUAGUUUAUUUACUUUCUAUGUAAGAGUAGUUUAUUUAAUUCCCAUGUAAGAGUUUAUUCACUUUCCAUGUAAGGGAAAUUCCAUUCCGGAAUUGUCUCAUAUCCAUAGGCUAUUUAUUUAUGCUUUCAUUCAUUGUAAAGGGAGGUAUCACAGAAUGAAUUGAGGUGUUCCUCCAUAUUUUGUCUUCAAAUUCCUUCAUAUUUUUCUUCAAAUUCUUCAGCAUGAAUUAAUAUCACAAAUUCCAUUAUUUUGGAAUUAUGAAAAAUUCAUUCAUGCUUAUUAAAAAUAUUGAAAAAUGAGAAAAUUAUUAAAAACCAAAUAAAAUCACAACAUGCAUGCCUGAAUAAAAAAAAUGGUGGCAAGUUUAUUAAAAAUUAGGUUUUGGUGAAUCAGGAUUUUAAUGAAGAAAAGAAAAAAAAGAAGAAAAUAACAAUCAUAAUAAUAAUAAUAAUAAUGACAAACAAAUAAAUAAAUGAAUAAAAGAAAGUAAAAUAAUAAAAUAAAUAAAUAAAUAAUUAUAUGAAAUAUGAAUAAAUAAAAUAAUUAAAUUAGGUGAAUAAACAAAUUAAAUAAAUAAAUUUAAAAGAUUUGAAACCAUUUGAAAGACAAAUUUUUGAAAAUCAAGUUUUGAAACUUAUUUGAAAAUUGAAGUUUUAAGAACUAAAUCAUAAAUUUGGAAUUUUAGAAAAAUAAUUUGAAAUUGGAAGUCAUGAAAAUUGGAACUUGGAAAAAUUAUUUGGGAAUGAGAUUUCUUAAAAAUUAAAUCUGAAAAUUAGAAUUUUAGAAAAUUAUUUGAGAAUGGAAAUUUCUAAAAGAAUAAAUUUGAAAAUUGGAAUUUUGAAAAAUUAUUUGAAAAUUAAAGUUUGGAAAAUUAAAUUUGAAAUUUGGAGUUUUAAAAAUUAUUUGAAAGAAAUUGGAGUUCUGAAAAUGAAAUUUGGAAUUUUAGAAUUUUUGGAAAAUUAAAUUUAAAAAUUUGAAUCUUGGAAAACUAAAUUCAAAAUUAGAGUCUUAGAAAAUUAUUUUGAGAAUUGAAUUUUCAAGAAUUAAAUUUUAAAAUUGGAGUUUUGGAAAAUUGAAUUUCGAGAAUUAAAGUUUUGAAAAUUAUUUAAAAAUUGGAAUUUUAAAAAUUAAAUUUAAGAAUUGGAGCUUCAAAAGUUAAAGUUUUGAAGAUCAUUCAAAAGUUAUAGUUUUGAAAAUUAUUUAUGCAAGUGGAAAACACGUGUAUGUGGGCUUGGGACUAAACGAUUAAAUGGCAAGUUGUCUUUGAAUUACAUAAUCGAAAUUUUCAUCGUAACUUCUGGAGGCUGCCAAUUAUGGAGAGUAUCAAAGCUGGGAAUAAAUAAAAGCUGGCCACGUGCACAUUGAAAUGGUUAUACAUAUGGAUUGCAAGCAUAUAGGAGAGAAUAGCAAGGAGCUGGUAGUUAGGUGGGUUAGGUGAUUGAAAAGUGAAGAAAUGAUCUGGAAUGGUUGGAGCUAGGGACCAAAGAUGCCCAACUUUUGCAUGACCCCAUUGAUCACGUUCACAUGUCAUUGCCCAUGCAAGAGUGUUCCCAGUCGUUGGUCAUAUACUCAUGUGUAUCCUCCUGUCUCGCAUUCUGAAGUUCCAAGAUAUGCACCAUGAGUUAGAGAUAAGAUCCUUGGGUGCUAAUAUUCUUCCAGUUGACUGAAGAGCACGACUGACAUGCUUCUGGAUAGCACACAAAGUGCAAAAUCCAACAAUAUGACACGAAUUUUGAUGCUUUCAGUUUUGCAAACAUGUUGCUAAAGACUCUGUUCUCCAUAUGAUCAGUCUCAUAUCUCUUCCUCCCACUCGAAGCCGCCAGACCUAUACUGUGCCUAGGUCACUUCGGAUCCGUGAUGGGGUUCGGAGUCUCUUGUCGAAAACCUCCUCUGUUGUCGUUAGUGAAGCCUAAGAAAGGCUUUCUUGUGAGAUGAAACUCGGUUCUUCUGUAGAACAAGGACCCAACUAAAGACGGGUGCGGCGAAGCUAAGGGACCAUUUUCCUGAGCAUUGGCUUAUGAGAAGACCAUUCAGAUGGGUGUAUGAGUUUAAUGGAUGUGAGGAAUGAGAAUAUGAGUGAUAGAGCAGACACGUAGGGCAAGUUAUUAAUGAAGGUAUGAGGGAUGAGGAUGUGUGUGGUGGAACAAAUAAGGAGUGGAGGAUGAAACCUGGAAGUGUUGAGGAACGGAACCUAAGUAGUGUCGGGUGGGUAAAACUGAUGAAUAUUUGGCUUGGGAUUUGGGUCUGAUAGAGAGGCUUUGAUUGAGGCUUUGCAAAUGUGGCCAUGCAUGAGUUAUUUACAUGCUUAUGAAUGGUGGGGGGUGGGGGGAGGAAACUCAAACCAGAUUUGAAAAUAAGAACAAAUUAUCCCCAAGCCAAAAGCCAAAGUAAAAAUAAAUAAAUAAACCAACAACAACACACCUAUGAAUGACUCAAAAAUCUAAUAAAUUCAAACACAUAACCUGAUGUUCACGCUUAGCAAACAAUCCACAAAAAGAAAUAGCAAGAAAUAAGAAGAAAUUAUUAUGAAGAAGCAGAAUCGAGAAUUGACAACAAUCAUAUCUGAGCAAGUCUUCUCGAUUGAAGCUCACCCCACUUCCAAGCUUUUCUCUUUUUUUCUUUUCAAAACAAAAUGGAUCUCACCUUAGCUUUCUCUUCCUACCUUUCGGUUUCUUCUCCCUGUUCCCUUUUGAUACCCGUUCUCCCCAUUUUUUCCUUCUCCCAAAACCUCACCUGCUCCAAACUCUCUCACACGUCUCUUUCCCGUCCCAUUUUUAGACUUCUUUUCUACAUCCAUUUUUUCACCUUUCUCCCAUGUUCUUUCUUUUCAUGCAAGCUCUAAUCGGCUCCCUGCUUCAACCAUCAUUUCAUCUAUUUUGUUCCAGCCAUCCCCUUCCCCAACAACUCCUUCAAAUGAAAUGCCUAGUUUACUCGGUCUCAAUGAGGGGUGGUAAAAAAUAAAAAUAAAAAAAACCUUUGGUUUAUAAUGGGGUCUAUAGUGGUAUUUAUUUUUUACUUUUCUCUAAAAUUUGAAUAAACCUAAAUUAUUAUUAUUUUUUAUCUUAAUUUUAAAAUGUCAAAAAUCGUUAAUCUAUUUUCUAUUUGUAGUAUGAAGAUUCGAAAAAUUCUUACUUCCCAUAAUGUUUGAACUUAUAUUUACCAUUUUUUUCUUCUUGAUCUAACAACAAGCUUGACUGCACAAACUUAGUCAGCAAUGAGAAUAAAAGUGACGAGGGUGAUAAAGUUCUCCCUAUACUGUAAUCCUGAUGGACUAAAAGGCCCAAAAUUCAUCUUAAUGGGUCAAAGUGAAGCCAUGAGCCUCUUUACAAUAGAUUAAAUUGAUUAUGGCCCAAAAUAAUACCCAUGCACAACCAAACAUAGUUUACAAUAUAUGUAGUCCAAUAACAUAAUUUCAACAUAUGAUUACAUUUUACUCUCCCUUUAAUGUUAAAUGACUUGAAAUAGUAAAAAGUUUUAUUUGAAAAUUUUUAUAUUUUCAAACUCUUGAUUCCUCUUUAUAAAUGUGGAUAAAGUUAAAGUUAGAGAAAUAAUGAAAAGAAUUAUUAAAAUUUAUUAAUCUUGAAGAGAAGUAUAAAAAAUGAAAAAUUAAUGAAAAAUUUUAUUAAAAUUUGCUAAGGUUAAUAUUUUUUUGUUAAUUUAUUUAUUACUUUAUUUUUCUUCAAUGUUAUUUUUCCUAGUAAUAUAAAUGUGGAUUUGGGAAGUACAUAUGCCAUUAUAUGACCCAAAAAUUAUUGGUUAUAGAAUAUUAGAAAUUCCGUAAUAACAUAAUUCACAUACAUUUUAUCUCAAAGUUAAAAUAGUCUUACCAGUUGUUAUAUAUCUAUUAGUGUAGUAGAUUUUGAGCUUGUCUUAAAAGUUCUUGCCUAUUGAUGCCUUUAUCAACUACUUUGCAAACCAAUUAUCCAAACUUGAAACACAAGAUGGUUGGGUGGUCAUCCAUCACAUCGCUUAUGGUUAAGUCAAUGGAUAACAAAAAAAGAAAGUGUUGAGAGUAGAUGCAAAAAUAAAUAUGGGAAUACGAGUGAGAGGAUAUGAUAGAUGAAGCUUAUUCUCUCUACUAGAACUUGAUCGGACCUUUAUAGUUCAUUACGUUAACCUAACCGCUAGGAGGUAAGUAGUUACCAUGUUAAAAAAAUUGGAAAAUAUUAAGGAAUGGAAUUGGUUACUAUUGACUUCCACCUUGAUUGUUGACUUUUGAAAAAUUAAUUUAGAUUGUUGGAUAAAGAUACAAAGAAAUAAGAAAAAAGCAUAAAAGUUCAAAUAAAUUAAACAUGAGAUCUAAAGGUACCAACUAGUGACCAAGACACCGAUUGGUGAUGUCUUUUCAAUAUCUAUAGGAAAAAAAGUACAUUUCGGUAUUAUGGUAAGAUCUUAAAACCCUUCUGUAUGUCUAGUGAUUGUUCAUUUUCUGGGGCGUUGAAAAGAAUUGUUUCUCCAACUAUAUUACUACCAUCACCGAUGUCCUCAUCAGUCAUGAGGCCUAGAUCAAUGACCAGCUUCGAUUCUAUCUUUUCUUCUCCAAAAUACUCUUGUGCAUUUCAAAUUAGGAGCCAAAAUCUGGUCAAAGAGAAACAAUAACCCAAAUUCAAUUCGGUUAACCAGCCAUUGAUGAAAGGUCUCUACAGAUUGUUGUAUUCUUCGCUUCACGGUGAUGAAAUGUAUAUCCGGGGACUGAAUCACUAGCUAUUUAAUUCGGCUUUCAGAUCUCUAGUUUCGGUUCUUAUGCUAGCCAUGUUCGCCACCAUGGCAUUGAUUUAUGUUGUCGACCGGUGAGUUCUCGCACUGUUUUGUAUUGUGAAAUGUUUUUUCGUUUCUUAGUUGUAAUAGUGCUCAUGGUGUGGUUAAUUUCAUUAAUUUAGGUUUUUUUUUUAAUUAUAAUUGGUCUAUUUUUUUUUAAAAAAAAAAAAAUUGUUUUUAUCAAAAUUUGCUAUUGGUAGGCUAUGGUUGGAUUCUAAGAAUAAGGUUUAUUUGAUUAAAGAGCUUGAUAUUGUUAUUCAAUUGUAGCUUCAAAUUUUCUUCCCCAUAGUUUGUUAAUGCAUUUUUUGGGACUAUUUUGUUAUCGUGAUUAAAUUAUAGAAUUAUAAUGAUACAAAUGGGGUUUUGACAUUGUAUAUAUGGAAUCGGAAUCAGUCCAUCAUGAUUUAAAUUAAUUAUAUGUUCUAUAACAUUACAUUGCAAUGCCAAAUAAACUGGUGAUUUGCAUGAGCUCAUUUUUUUUUCUUUUCUUUCAUUAUGUUUUUGUCUUUUUUUUUUUCUUUUAUUGAAAUGCAUUACAUUUCCUAUUUUCAUUUUUCGAAAUUAAUCAUUUAGAGUAAUUGACUAGAUAAUGGGUUUUUCUAUUUUAAUAGUUUUUAGGUACAAUGAGCCAAUGACACAUUGCAAAUUAUAGCAUGCAAGUAAAUAAAUUAUAGCUAUCCUUCCUUCAUGUGGGGUUCUUUUUUUUGGGCUUUUGUUAUAAUAGAUAAAAUAUAAUCUAGAGGUCAUGGUGAUGGUUCUUCAAUUUUAUAAGAACAAUAUAAGAAGUUAGCAGCCCCGUAAGAUGGAGUUAGUUGCAGCAUAACAGGAAGAUUUUAUCUCAAAGAACUUGCUAGAAAAUAAGAAGACGACUCCUAAGAAAAAGCUUUUAGCUAUUGUAGGAAUUAUGACAAAGUUUGGCCACAAGAACAAUAGAGAUGCAAUCCAUAGGGCAUGGAUGCCAACUAGUAUAAUACCCUUCCUUUUGUAAGUUUUGCUCUUUAUUCUUUGUAUGAUUUACAUAGAGAAUAACCCAAUUGCCACUUAACAGAUUGACAUUUCUGUUAUAAGCAUAUAAAGGAAAAAAAAACAGGAAGCUUGUAGGUUGAACUCUUAUUAACAUGAAAACUUUUAGUGGACUACCAUUUCUCUUCUAUUCUUUUUUCAUUGUUUCGUUUAUUUUCUUAGUUUGCAAUAGUCAUAUUUCAAUAGUUUGCAAACUCCAUAAACCAAUUUGAAAAACCUUGAAGUUAACAGGUGCAAAUUAUGAGAAGCUAAAAUCUUGUUUCUCUAGGAUUUUUUUGAAGUUACUCAAUUGAAUGGAGAACAUAAAACUAUCAAGAGGCCCUGCCCCUACCCCUACCCUGCACCCUCUAUACCCCUGUUUACAGAAAUUUUGAGUUUGUCUUUAAAGUAAUAAGGAAGACAAUAGUUUGUAUAAUAAUGAAACAGGAAGUAAUAUUGUGAUUCAUUGCUGCAAAAAGUAAUAUUGACAUAACUUAUGUGUUAAACUACACUUAAAUGCUUAGCACAAAAGUAUGUUAUUCUUCAUUUGAGAGCAUUAAUUUAAACCUUAUAUGUUAGCAUCACUUUUUCCAUAACUAAUUUUUUCCCCCUUAUCCAAGACAAUGCAUAUCGAGUGAUUGAUUCUUAAGUUAAUAGCCUUGGCACCCACAUGGGGUGAAGUUUGAAUCCAGAAUUUCCCAAUAGUCUUAAUACGCUUCCUCGAGUGUGUUCAAACUUAAGACGUCAAUGGUAAACCACCACUUUACCAAACAAUUUUAAGUUACUAAGUAAUAGGCUAGCAAUGGGAUAUUAAGCUUGAGCAAUUCUUUUAUAAUGUUUAAUGGUUUAAACGUUGACAAUUAAAACACUUACAAAAGCAUGAUGACUUACCCAUUAUUUUUGUACAAAUACUUUAAAAGCAACUCUUGCUACUCAUUUGAAUAAGCCUCGAGUUCAUAUUGGGUGUAUGAAAUCAGGCAAAGUUUUCUCAAAUUUGUGAGUAUAAUCAAAGUUUUUUUUUCUUCUAAAGAUGAGAAAACGAGUUGUUUAUGAUAUUCUACUUUCAUAAAAACUAUGAGAAAACAAUCUGUUAAGCAUUGCCAUCAUGGAAGAUAUUGAACCUAAAGUCCAAAAGAUGUAUGAAAGCACAACCAAAGAAAUCGAGGACUGAUCUACACCUUCUCCUAAUCGAGAGAGGAGUGUGAGGUCAUGUGUCAUGGUGAGAUGUGUGGGAUAAAAGAAUGUAAUGAUCAAGCUCUAGUAAGAUAGAAAACACGAAAGUAUCAAAGGUGAAAUGUUUGAGUAAGAAAUGAAAGGUAGGCAGACAUUCGAAAUCAUCCAAGUAUGCCAAGAAGACUAAACCUAAGGUGUCAAUAGCUCCAUAAUCCAUCAAAAGCAGCAAUCAUAAACAAAAAGUCAAGUCUCGAUGUCAAAACAUCUACCAAUCAAUAUCAUCAACAUCCCAAUCAAUCUACUGAAGACUAGGAAGAGAGGGAACUGCAUGUGUAAAAUGUGUAGGCAGGGGAUUGGUGGUCACACUUGGUCCAAACAAGUUGACCAACCUUGAAUCAAUCAAGUCCUUUAUCACAUGAUGGAGCGCCACACAACACUCAGCAUCAUGCCCUUGAAUAUGAUGAUAUAAGCAAUACUCAUGUAAGCAAAAAUGAGGAAGAAUAGGAUACGGCAAAGGGCGUGGUGCCAAAGAAACAAUCACACCAGCGUCUCUGAGUUUUUCAAAAGCUCUAGUCAAAGUCAUGCUCAAUGGAGUGAACUGUAUCGUGAGCCUUGGUGCAUAUGGUCUAGGUAAUAGGGGAGUAGCUCGGAUGUGGUGGCCGUGAUUGCAUGCUAGUCCGAGCAAUGUAAGGCUGCUAAACAUAAAUUGACUGAUACGAUGUUGUGGAUGAGAGAAAUGAGCUCUAAUUGUAGGAGGCCUAUAAAGCGAGUGAUAUGCAAGCCUUUGAUGCUGAUAGCUAAUGGUGUCAACCUCUCCAGACCUACUAGAUAAUCUAACCGGCUUCUUUCCCUUAUUGUUAGGGGAAGGAGCAGUAUUUGUCCAUAAUCCUAGAGCAAUGGCCUCCUCAACACUGAGAGCUGCAUGAACUAGACUCUUAAGAUCCUGAAAUGGAAUGCCCACAAGGCGUCUAACAAACCUUGGCUAUAGGUUCCGAAGAACCAUAUCAAUCUGAUCCCGCUUCUUAGGUCAGUUUAUCAUACCUGCCACAUUUGCCCUCCAACAAUUGACAAAUGAGGAAAUAGACUCGUCUAACCUCUGUCUGGUGGCCUCCAACUCUCGUCUAGAUACAUCAAUGUCAGCACUAAAAGCAAACUGAGUCAAAAAAUCAUGAGCCACAUCCUCUUAGGUGCGAAGUCUCGAAGGCUUAACUAAGGCAAACCAUCUCUAAGCUACUUUACUAAGUGACAAAGGGAAAAAAACCACUAAUUGUGCAUCAUCUAUCCCCUGUGCUCUCAUGACUGUGUUGUAUAGUCUCAAACGGAUCUUGGGACAACCAAUCCCACUAUAACGUUCAAUGUUUAGCAUGCAAAACUUGGUAGGCAAGCUAGCCGUCGGUAUGCCAUCCUUAUCAUCCCAAGUCAAACCUCCAUCCUGUAAUCUAAUCUACCUCAUCUUGGACUCAAGCCUCUCAACCUUGGCCUCAUGCUCGGCCAAUCUAGUAUCAUCAGUAGUAGUAACAAUGGAAGGCGACACUGUGGUAACAUGUGGUGGAGCAGUCUCACAAUGAUUUGAUAGAUGGAAUGAAACGUCAUGUGAAGUCCCAGGUGGAAGAACCUGUGUUGUCUAAGAUGCAUAGGAAACUGUCUCAUCAGUGCUGAUGCCGACUAGAUGAUGAUCUUGGCGAGAACUCUCAAUCUGAUCCAAACGUCUACUAACCCUUGCCAUGAACUCCUAAAUAGAAGCAAGUGUAGAAGCUAGCUCGUCUGACAUCUCAACUAAACUGUUUGAACUUUGAUGUGAAUCUGCUCUGAUCAAUUGACCUCCAAUUCUCCUCCAAGAAUGUGAGUCCAAACUCAACCAACUCCUAAAUUGACUCCCUACAAUGCAAACGAAAUGGAUGGACACAAGAUAGAACCCUAAAAGACAACCAUACAACAUGUAAACACAUGAUCCUGAGGUGGCAAUCCGAAAUCUGGAUGUAUGAUGAGAACUCUGGAGUCAUAAAGGUGUCCACUAUGAGAUGGCUACAAUUGUGACUAGAGAAUUCCUAUCAAUAAUCCAAUAUGAAAGAGGUGUGAGAAACACAAUAUCACAAGAUUGAUGCUCCAUCUAUAACCACAUAUCCUUAACUUAACCUUGAACUUGAGCUCCAUAAAGAGAAAAAAAAAAUACGGUGAUCAAGGCGAAUCUCUGGAAAAAAUGUGACUGUGAAAACAUGUUUUUCACCUUUCCGUAAUGAAAAUGUGAGCAUCGAGUUGAAAAUUGAAUCAAUGAUCAAACAAAGAAUGAGAUAUUGGGCUCGUGAUAGGUGUACAGUGUAAAAAGAUGAUCAUGAUCAACAAACAUAUCCCAAAGCAUCCAACAAGCGACAACAAAAAGAAAGGAUGUGUCAAGCUAAGAAAUAAAUAUGAAAGCCCUAGGGAGAAAACAAGCUAAACUCAAUGAGCGACAAAAAGAAACCAAAACUAUACAGCAAUGGGUGGUCCAACUGAUACUCAAACUUGCAUUGAUCUCUAAGCACUCUCAACUAAAGACCAAAAGAGGGAGUAUUGGAUCCGAACUGUAACUAAAGAGGCUCUAAAAGUUCUUAGAUGCACCCACGUGUAGGGAAAGGAAUCCUAAUUGAAGGAUCUAAGGCUUUACUUAUAAGGUCAAUGUGGCUCUAAAAAGAAGAAAUAUAGGCUUUCAAGGGUCCCUAGUAGAAGCGAUCAUAUCCUUUGGCAGUAUGCAACCCUUUGUAUGCCUCCAAAGAGACAGGGCGCUUCCAUGUAAGGUGGUCAUUACCUCCACACAUGCACUACCUCGCAGCUCAGAGAACUCCUAUGGUGAAGGCUCUCCUAAUGACUGACGUAUCUCACAACUCUGAUCACUCAUCGACAACCUAAGGUGCAUAGUGAGUGGCGUGGGUGCAUCCAAAAAUCCUAUGAAACUAAAAGAAAACACACUGGACACACAAAUAUCCUGAAAUCUAGCUCUAAGCUAUACAAGUCUUCAAAGGUCAUACUCUAAUCAACAUUGUUAGCAGAUCGAAGGGUUGGCUGCGUCCAUCAACUCCCCUUAUGUUCGCCGUGGGCGCUUGGGUGAAUGCAUUAUAAGGGUAGGGUAUGCGUCUUUCCUACAAACAAUUGCUUUUAGGAGAGUUGGUAGCGUCUGAGGUCCUACAAGUGGUAUCAGAGCCAAGGUCACGGGUUCGAACCCUAGGGGUGUCGUUGAGGGGGAGAUUGUUGGCAGAUCGGAGGGUUGGCCGCGUCCAUCAACUCCCCUUGUGUUUGCCGUGGGCGCUUGGGUGAAUGCACUAUAAGGCUAGGGUAUGCACCUUUUCUACAAGCAAUUGCUUUUAGGAGAGUUGGUAGUGCCUGAGGUCCUACAAACAUCAAUGUGUCGACCACCUCCAAAAUGCUCCCAAACAUAGAUAUAACCCAUCGCUAGACCCUACUCCUAACCACUAGCUCAGUCAAAGAACAAACAAAGCAACAAGUCUCAUAUUGAAUACAAGAUCAAGGAAAACAAGGUCAACCAAGACUAGGGACUUGGAGACAAGAGGAUAGGUGUGUGUCCCACAUAGACAAGCAACUCAUGCAAUCACACAGAAUGAGAGAAGUUAUACAACAGAUAGUCAUGCAAAACACAUGUAUAUCAUCCAAAUCUACACACAACCUAAGCAAGAAAUAUGAUAAUCAAGAUAAUAACUAGCAAGAAUAGCAUGCUCCAAGAUGAUCAAGAUAAUAUACAAGCAAGAGAGCCAACACUAAGAUAAACAAGACAUACAACAAUGUGAAUAUACAUGUCAAAGUGAGCAAGAAAAUCAUGGCAAGAGUAGAUUCAAUCAAUAUCAUCAGCAUGCCAAUGUCGCAAAUGGAUAUAGCAAUCAAACAUAGAAAGUCACCACAUCAAAAUCCUCAAUGUGCUAUGAUCACUCAAGCAUAGAGAAGCACAAAGGGAGGGUAUCCAUCAACCGAAUAAUCAAAUGCCACAUUUGCCUUAACUUGAAUUCAAGUUCGACCCUCAAAAAUUCCCUAGUGGAGUCGCCAUUUUGUGUACCCCACAUUUCUAGCACGAUGCUUUCCCACUCGAUGAUGCGACUCGCUUUUUAUUUAUUCAAUGAAAAUAUGAUUUUUAGAAAAAAAAAACUUGGAGUCGUCACUUAUUUUUGUUUUAUUUUUUUUAAGGAAAAAUAAAAUAAGAAAGAAAACCCUAAGUGUGACUCCUUAUUUGGAAAAGACGGUCUGUGAAAAACCAAAUCUAGGUUCGAGGGUUAGAUUUCCUAGUGGGAAGGUACGGUGGUGAGACGUAACACCCCUCUAAGCCCUAUAAUAAGGUCUCUACUAAUAAGGUGAGACAGAUGUGACAAUUGAUAAGGAAAUCAAUGGAUACCAAUGAAAUGAUCAAAUAAUAAAACGAAUCAUGCAUAAGAAUAAGUGGGAGUAAGAUCGUACCUUAGCAGCAAGUAAUAGUGCGCUAUCAUGGAGACAAAGUUAGCUCAAGUAUAAUAUUAUCACAUGCAUAUCAAAGAACAAGACAAAGAUCAAACAAUAUUCAUUAAGCAUAACUGUUGACAAUCAAAAGAGAAAACUUAUAUGUAGGGCCCCCACUAAAGCCCAAUUUAUUUUGUUAUGAAUUAAUUAUCAUAAAUUCCACUAUUUUGGAAUUAUGAAAAUUUAUUCAUUUUUAUAUUUAAAAUUUUGAAAAUGAGAGCUUUGAAAAUUAAACUUGAAAUUGGAAUUUUGAAAAUUUAUUUGAAAAUGAAAGUUUUGAAAAUUAAAUUUUAAAAAUUGGAAUUUUGAAGAAUUAUUCAAAAAUUAAAUUUAAGAUGAAAAUUGGAAUUUUUGAAAAUUAUUUGAAAAUGAAAGUUUUGAAAAUUAAAAUUUAAAAUUGGAAAUUUGAAGAAUUAUUCGAAAAUGAAAGUUUUGAAAAUUAAAUUUGAGAUGAAAAUUGGGAUUUUGGAAAAUUAUUUGAAAAUGGAAGUUUUGAAAAUUAAAUUUUAAAAUUGGAAUUUUGAAGAAUUAUUUGAAAAUGAAAGUUUUGAAAAUUAAACUUGGAAAUUGGAAUUUUGGAAAAUUAUUCGAGGAAGUUUUGAAAAUUAGAUUUGGAAAUUGGAAUUAAAAAAAAAAUUAUUUGAGAAUGAAAUUUUUGAAAAUUGGAAUUUUGAAAAAACAACAUUUCAAGAUUAAAGUUUGAGAUUAAAUUUUUGUUGGUUUGUAGCCACACAAUUUCAAAGUCCACUAGUGUGUUACAAUUGGACACAAAAUCCCACAACCUUAAUCUUGAAUCUGACUGCACUCUGAAGAUUUAAUAAUAGCACCAAAAUGACUUCUGCAACUAAUGAUAGCACUAACAAUGAUGGUCGACAGCCAAACUGCAACUAUUGCCCCACCUCCAUAGAUAAAAAUUGUGGAUUUGUUUUUUAGUGCAUCCCACAUUUCCAUCAAAUCCGAGAAUGUCCUGCAUCAACUGGACCAGAUUCAUCUAAAGAGGCGUUGAUCUGGAGUGAGGAAAACCUAUUGGAAUCUUCUCGUGAGAGAUCCGUUUGACAUGGAUGACCCGUUUUUGGCAGUAAACUUGAACGACUUUCCCUUCUCGGCCCUUGAAGGUUCCCCGAACGACCUGGACCUCGUCGUCCUUGCGAAUAGGCAUGGAGCGAACGUUGUACUUGCUGCGGAGGUUAGUGGAGAGUGGUGCGCUCAUCAGCACUCGUUGAACACUCGAUGACACCGUGAAGUAAGGGUGUUAGGAAAAAUGCAGCUGGAGGUUGCUCCCAAGAGGAUGUAGUUGCAGAAGAAGAAGACUUUGUGGGUGUGGUAGUGUGAUUAUGUGACUAAGCUUGACUGGCUAUGGAUGGAGAGACCCGUUUUGAGGGUUUCCGGCGAAAUUUAGUGGCGGGUAGUGGAUUCCAAUGAGUAUUGGACUGUGGUGGUGGAUAUGAGAGAGAAAAGAAGUGAUCAAGCUAGCACAAUCACUUGAUAUUUUGGCAUUCUUGGUAGAAUUAACAUAAAUAAAAGGCAUGAUUUUCAAGCAUCAAACUCAACUGAAACAAAGACAAAAUAAAUAGAAGUGGGAAAUAGACUUAACACAUUCAAGCGCCAAAACAAAAAUCCAAAUAUCAACAAGAAACAUGGUAUGACUGUAAAAAAAAAUAGAGAACCUAAGAUGUGAAAUGGUCAAACUUGAGCGAUUCCUCCUGAGCAAAUAUUGUCUAGCUUCCAGCAAGCUGCAAUCUCCCUCAUCUGUUGCUCAUUUUCUCAUCCCUCGCUAUCUCUGUUUUUUCACGUUAUGCCAUUUUCCCUUUAUUUUCCUUCCUCUCCAAGCUUCUACCAACCCCACUCGUUCCAUUGCUCCUUGCUCAGAAGCUGUUAAGAAAAAAAUAAAAAUAAAAAAUAAAAAAAAUCCCCCAUCUCAACCACCACCAUGGCAAGGUGGUGGUGUCCUUGGCCAUGCGUCCCAUGCAUGCAACUCACUUGGAAAGUCGACCACCUACUCCUCCAAGAUGUUGCUAGCUCUUCCUAUUAUGGUAAAAAAAUAAAAAAAAAAGGAAAAAAAACUUUUGGUCCACAAAGGGGUCUACAAUAAUAGAGUGAUCAAGUGUUUAGGUUGUUUAUUUCUUAUUAUUAUAUAAAUAUUGUUAAAUGUUAAAUUGCAUGUUUUUAUUAAUAUUUGAAAGGUUAGACUUAUUUAUAUUUAGAUGUUAAAAAUAUUUAAAAAUUAGUUAUUAUAUUUUUUAAUUUGACUUUAAAAUUAAUAAUAUAAAAAUGGUAAUUUAAUAUAUUUUAAAAUAUACCAAAAUAUCAUAAUUUAUUACUAUAAUAAAAUUUUAUAAUAAUUAAUUAUAUAAUUGGUUGAAAAUUGAUAAUUACAUAAUAAUUAGGAUUUUUAAUUAUACUUGGUAGUUAAUAAAAUGUUAGAAAUUUUCUUAGUUAAAACUUAUUUUUAUGUAACCUAUCUUGGGAUUUAUGAAUAAUAUAGUUGAGAUUAAUUUAUUAAAUUUUUAAUUUUUAAUUUGGGAAAAAUAUUAAAAUCUAAAUUUUAUUUUUUAAAUUAACUGAAAAUGUUUAUUCUAGUGAAUAAUUAGAUGAGUGUAAAUUAGGAAUAUAAGUUCAAGCUCAUGAACUAACUGAACCAAUUUUAACCAAUCCAUUGUAGCCUAAUUAGUUUGGUUUUUCAUUUAAAGACGUUUGGUUCAGCUUGCAAAAUAAAAAUAAAUAAAAAACUUAAAUAAGUGGUAUUUAUUUUUUUUUGUCUAAAGUCUGAAUGGAAUAUUAUUAAGUGUUUAGGUCAUUUAUUUUUUUAUUAAUGCUAAAUAUUUUUAAGUAUUAAAUUGCUUGUUUUUAGUAAUGUAUAAAGGUUUAAACUUAUUUAUUUUUACACAUUAAAAAUAACUAUAAAAUUAGUUAUUAUUAUUAUUAUUUUAAAUUAAUAAUUUAAGAAAUAGUAAUUUAAUAUAUUUACAACUAUCUCAAAAUAUUAUAAUUUAUUACCAUAACAAAAAAUUUAUAAUAAUUAAUUAUGUAAUUUAUACAAAAUUAAUAAUUAGAUAAUUAUUAGGAUUUUUAGUUAUGCUUGGUUGUUAAGAAAAUGUUAAAAAAUUUCUAAGUUAAAUUUUAUUUUUAUAUAAUAUAUUUUCAGAUUUAUGAAUAUUGUUGAGAUUAAUUAUUAAUUUUUUUCUUUUUAAUUUGGGAAAAAUAAGAAAGACUAAAAUUUUAGUUUUCAAAAUUAAUUGGAAUUUUUUUAUUCUAAUGAACAAUUAGAUAAGUGUAAAUUCAAGGACAUGAACGACCCUAAUUUGACUUCAACCAGUCCAAUCUAGUCUAAUUAGUUUGGUUUUCAAUUAAAGAUAUUUGAUUUAGUUUGCAAAACAAAAAAAAAAACACACCAAAAAAACAAAAACAAAAAAUGCUUACGUGUUCAUUUGAAAACAAUGAACCAAUGGGAAGUGAACCUACCUAACCUUGUCUAUUAUAUAUGCUACUUAAUCAAUGUCAUUCGGUUUGAAUUAAGAAAAUUUGUAGUAAAUUUAUUUUUUAGUCUAGAUUUUAUAAUUUUAUUAUUCAAUGAGGAGUAUACAUAAAUUUAUGAAAUUUAGUCUAAUUGAAAUUGGAUGAAUUAUGUAUGAGAUAAAAAUAAUGGCUAUUUGCUAUAGAAUGUUGAUUUUAGUUUUAAACUUUUUAGAUUUAAUAUAAAUUUAUUUUAGAUUAAUUUUUUAUCCAAAUUAAGUAAUUUUAAUAUUGUUUGUUUAAUUAUUAGUAGCAAUUCACUGAGAAUAUUUUAGCUAUAAAUUAUCUUGAUAAAAAAUAGAAUGAAUAAAUAAAGCAAAGCCUAUUGAACGUAUAGUAGGAUUUUUUAUGACAAAUUUACUAAUCUAUGAUACAAUCAUUUAUCACUCACAUUACACAAAAUUGAAAUAAAUUAUUCUUUAAAAAAAAAAAUUAAGAGAUGUGGAAAAUUUUCAAAAAUAAAUUUGGUUUAUUUUGUAUAACGAAUUAAAUUUGAGUACUAUGAUAAAGUUAAUGGUUGAAAGGAGAGAAAAUAACUUUUUUCUAGUAAGAUAAAAGUUAUAAAAAAAAUUACUUUUUCUGUUGAGACAAAAUUGUCUUUAAAAAAUGUUAAAUUAAAAAAAAACUAUAAAAAUAUAUUGAAUCUUAAAACAAGUUACUUUUAGACUUAAAAGUGUUGGAAAUCAAGCCCACGUCGCCUUCCUGCUUGUGCAUGUUCCUCCCCAUAUUUAGCAUCCUCUGUUUACUUCCCUAAAUUAGUGUAAUGUACAACCUUUAUUAUAAUUGAUUUAGGAGUAAUUCUAGCAAGGUAGUUUAUUCACUUUCCAUGUAAGAGUUUAUUCACUUUCCAUGUAACACUUUCCAUGUAAGGGAAAUUCCGUCCGUGAUAGUGUACCAUUCCGGAAUUGUCUCAUAUCUAUAGGAUAUUUAUUUAUGCUUUCUUUCAUUGUAAAAAAAAAAAAAAAAAAGUAUCACAGAAUGAAUUGAGUAUGUGUUCCUCCAUAGUUUGUCUUCAAAUUCUUCAUGGUAUCAGAGCAGGUUUAAUCCUGUCUCAUCGUCUUCAUCUUUAGUCAGUAUUUUUUUUUUCCUACUCAAUUCUAUUCUUCUAGUUUAUGCCUAAAUACGGUCCAGCCUUUGGAAUGGCUACCAACUCAUCAUCCUCUACUUCUGAUAUCAUCAUCUCAUCGUCUUCAUCCUCUCAUCAGAUGGAAACCUCUCAUCUUCCAAUCACAGCCCAUAAACUGAAUGGGCAAAAUUAUUUGCAAUGGUCUCAGUCCAUAUUAAUGUUUAUACGGGGAAAGGAGAAAGAUGACUACAUCACCGGAGCUUCGGCGGCACCAGAAACCACAGCAUCAACCUACAAAAAGUGGAUAGCAGAAAAUAAUAUGGUCAUGUCCUGGCUAGUCAACUCUAUGACCACUGACAUUGGUGAAAAUUUUUUGUCAUUUGAUACUGCCAAAGAAAUCUGGGACAUUGCAAAAGAAACUUUCUCAGACAAGGAAAACACAUCUGAAAUCAUCCAGAUUGAAGGCAUCCUCCACGAUUUGCGUCAAGGUAACCUUACGGUAACUGAAUAUUUCAAUACUCUUACUCGUCUAUGGCGUCAACUUGAUACGUUUGAGGUUCAUAACUGAAAUUGUGUUACAGAUGGUUUGUUGUAUAAAAAGAUUGUCGAAGGGAAACGUGUGUUUAAAUUUUUGUUAGGCUUGAACAAAAAUCUUGAUGAAAUCAGAGGAAGAAUCAUGGGAGUAAAACCUCUACCUAGCCUCAGAAAGGCAUUCUCUGAAGUCCAUCGCGAAGAAAGUCGGAAAAAUCUAAUGAUGGGAUCCCAUCAACAACUGAAUAUGGCAGAAAGCUCGGCUCUUAAGACUCAAUUUGCUCCUUUUGACAACUGUCAAAAAAUUAAAGGAGGUAGACCUUGGUGUGAUCAUUGCAGAAAGCCGGGACACUCAAGAGAAAUUUGCUGGAAGAUUCAUGGAAAGCCAGUAGAUUGGAAGCCACGUCAACCACUUGAGAAAGAAGGACGAGGCAAUCAUGUGGCUACCGAUGAACAAUCGCCACAACCUGAAGCUAGCCCUUUUAAUAAGUAGCAAAUGGAGAUGCUUCAGAAACUACUGUCUCCUCUUUUGUCAGUACAGUCACAAACUGGCUAAUCUUCCAACCAGGUCAUUGGUUCCGGAACCUUGGCUCACAAAGGUAAUUUUUUGAGUGCCUUCACUGCUGGUAAGAAACGUAAAAAACCUUGGAUAGUGGACUCAGGAGCAUCUGAUCAUAUGACGGGAGAUGCGACAAUUUUUGAUACAUAUAGCUCAUGUCCAAAUAAUUUAACAGUCCGAAUAGCAGAUGGUUCACUAUCAAAGGUUGCCGAAACAGGUUCAGUUGUGCUAUCAAGGGAUCUUACUCUCAACUCUGUUCUCCUUGUUCCUAACUUGGACUAUAAUCUAUUGUCAAUUAGUAAACUCACUAAGGAAAAGAGGUGUAUUACUAAUUUUUCCUCUACUCACUGUGAAUUUCAGGAUUUGGAUUCGGGGAAGACGAUUGGCAAUGCUGAGGAAUGCUCUGGACUCUACAUCCUUAAGGAGCGCCACGAUCCACAAGAACAACCUCAAAUGACAGUUGGUAGUAAUUCUUUUUCGGUUUCAUGUCAAAAUAACGAUAAUGCAAUUAGGUUGUGGCACUAUCGCUUAGGUCAUCCAAAUGUUAUGUAUCUCAAGCAUUUAUUUCCUUCAUUAUUUAAUAAAAAUCCACAAUCCUUUGAGUGUGAAAUCUGUCAAUUAUCAAAGCAAGUCCGGUCUCAUUUUCCCAUUCAACCCUAUAAAGAGUCUAGUCCAUUCUCAAUGAUUCAUAGCGAUAUCUGGGGUCCAUCAAGAAUAAAAAAUGUAACUGGUACUAGGUGGUUUGUCUCAUUCAUAGAUGAUCACACUAGAUUAACUUGGGUAUUCCCUCAUGAAAAGAAAAAAUCUGAAACGAGUCAAAUUUCCAAAAAUUUUAAAAAUAUGAUUCAAACCCAAUUCCAGUCAAAAAUAUAAAUUCCAAAAGUCCUGAUAAUGCUAGGGAUUAUUUCCAUUCUAGGAGAAUUUCUAGCACAAGAAGGGAUAGUUCACUUAAGUUCAUGUGUUGAUACCCCACAACAAAACGGAAUCGCUGAAAGGAAAAAUAGGCAUUUGUUAGAGGUGGCUAGAUCACUAAUGUUCUCCAUGAAUGUUCCAAAAUUAUUAUGGGGGCAAGCUGUCCUUACGGCAGCCUACCUCAUCAAUAGGAUGCCGUCUAGGGUACUAAAAUUCCAAACACCUUGUCAAACACUCCUAAAAUCCUUUCCGACUACUCGUCUCAUCUCCACCGUCCCACCCAAAAUUUUCGGGUGCUCUGUCUUUGUUCAUAUCAAUCAACAACAUAGAAGUAAACUUGAUCCUAGGUCACUCAAGUGCAUCUUUCUUGGGUAUUCUUCAAAUCAAAAAGGGUAUAAGUGUUACUCCCCGGUCACAAGAAAAUUCUACAAUUCAAUGGAUGUCACUUUUUUUGAAACUCAGCCUUACUAUCCUAAAAACGAUAUUCAGGGGGAGAAUUCAACUCAGGAAUAUCAAUUUUGGGAUCUUGAGUCAUUCAGUGAGUCACCCAUCACCACUGAAAAUCACAUUCCUCCAGAGUCAUUUAAUCAGCCCGAGUCCAUUGUUGACUUGUGGGAUAAGGACCACAUCCAAGAGGAAACGGAGGAAGGAGCACUUUCUCAACAAACCCAUGAGGCUGAACCGGGUCCUAAUCCAAGCAAACUUCCAGGUAACAACGCUCCUGAUGGUACUGUUGAUUCCGAGUUAGAAAAUGAUAUUCUUAAUAUGCCCAUAGCUUGAAGGAAAGGAGUUAGAUCAUGCACUCAGCAUCCCAUUGGAAAUUUUAUUUCUUAUGAUAAGCUAUCACCUACGUUUCGUGCAUUCACUUCUAGCAUCACAGAGAUACAAGUUCCUCGGAAUAUUCAGGAAGCUUUCAAGUAUCCUAAGUGGAAGGCGGCAGUCGAUGAGGAAGUUCGGGCGUUGGAAAAGAAUGGUACGUGGGAAAUUACUAACCUCCCAAGAGGUAAGAAACCAGUUGGGUGUAAGUGGAUUUUCACAGUAAAAUACAAGGCAGAUGGUAAUGUGGACAGGUAUAAGGCUCGGUUGGUCGCCAAAGGAUUCACCCAAUCCUAUGGCAUUGACUAUCAAGAAACUUUUGCUCCAGUUGCCAAGCUCAAUACUGUUCGUGUACUUUUAUCCUUGGCAGCUAAUCUCGAUUGGUCGCUUCACCAACUUGAUGUGAAGAAUGCCUUCCUCAAUGGUGACUUAGAGGAAGAAGUUUACAUGGACAUUCCUGCUGGACUUGAGAUGACAUCAAAUUUCAACAAGGUUUGCAGACUCCAAAAAUCCUUGUAUGGUCUCAAACAAUCUCCCAGGGCCUGGUUUGAACGGUUCACUAAGGUAGUGAAAGGGUACGGAUUCGUUCAAUGUCACUUCCCAGAAGGGAAGCUGGCAAUUAUCAUUAUAUAUGUGGACGACAUAAUUUUGACAGGUGAUCAUGAAGAGAAAAUUGACUUACUUAAAAAAUUACUGACAAAGGAAUUUGAGAUCAAGGAUCUUGGAAACCUCAAGUACUUUCUCGGAAUGGAGAUUGCUAGGUCAAAGAAAGGUAUAGCAGUCUCACAACGCAAAUACGUUCUGGACUUAUUGAAUGAAACAGGAAUGCUAGGAUGCAAGCCGACAGAAACACCUAUGGAUACAACUAUCAAACUGGAAGAAAGUGAUGGAAGUGCGCCAGUUGAUAAAGGAAGAUAUCAACGUCUUGUGGGGAAACUCAUCUAUCUUUCUCAUACAAGGCCAGACAUCGGCUUCUCCGUUAGUGUGGUAAGUCAAUUCAUGAAUAAUCCAACCGAAAAACGCAUGACUGCUGUGAUCAGAAUAUUGAGGUACCUCAAGAUGACACCGGGAAAGGGUCUCUUCUUUCAAAGAACAACAAAGAAAGAGAUUGAGAUUUUUUCAGAUGCAGAUUGGGCAGGUUCAGUGACUGAUCGGAGAUCAACUUCAGGCUAUUGUUCAUUUGUCUGGGGGAACUUGGUUACAUGGCGAAGCAAGAAACAGUCAGUGGUAGCCCGUAGUAGUGCUGAGGCAGAAUUUCGUGCUAUGGCACAAGGUAUCUGCGAGGGAAUCUGGUUGAACAGGCUGUUAGAAGAAUUACGGGUUCCAUUGAAGCAUCCCAUGGUGUUAUACUGCGACAAUCAAGCUGCCAUCAGUAUCGCUAAGAAUCCGGUUCAUCAUGAUCGAACUAAGCAUGUGGAGAUAGAUCGACACUUUAUCAAGGAAAAGAUUGAAGAAGGAGUUUUCAAAGUCAGCUACACUCCGACAAACUGUCAAACGGCUGACAUUCUCACAAAAGCUCUUGCUCGAGGUAACUUCGAAAAUCUGACAGAAAAACUUGGAAUGAUCAACAUCUACAACGCGGCUUGAGGGGGAGUGUUGGAAAUCAAGCCCACGUCGCCUUCCUGCCUGUGCAUGUUCCUCCCCAUAUUUACCAUCCUCUGUUUACUUCCCUGAAUUAGUGUAAUGUACAGCCUUUAUUAUAAUUGAUUUAGGAGUAAUUCUAGCAAGGUAGUUUAUUCACUUUCCAUGUAAGAGUUUAUUCACUUUCCAUCUAACACUUUCCAUGUAAGGGAAAUUCCGUCCGUGAUAGUGUACCAUUCCGGAAUUGUCUCAUAUCUGUAGGAUAUUUAUUUAUGCUUUCUUUCAUUGUAAAAAAAAAAAAAAAAAAGUAUCACAGAAUGAAUUGAGUCUGUGUUCCUCCAUAGUUUGUCUUCAAAUUCUUCAUAUUUUAGUCUUCAAAUUCUUCAAAAAGUAAAAUAAAUAGAUAAGCAUGAACUCAUAAAAAAAUACAAUCAAAACUUAUUUGUAAAUCUUUCUAUUCAACAAAUUAAAUAAAGCCUAGUUUUAAUAACACUAGCUAGGAUGCCAUAACCAAAUGAGAUAUAGGUGUUGGAAAAGAAAACAUGACUCUUUUUCUACCUAUUGUAUUUAAUUUUAUGUCACAAUCUAUUAAAGAAACUUUGUUUCUUUGAAUUUGCAUAUGGAUAACAAAAAGAAGAUUUAUGAUACUUUCUUGGAUUUAUAACAAUAAAACUAUUUCAAAUGUAUGACAACUUAUGAAGCACUAAUAGAAACUUAUCUCUUGAAUAUAUAACUUCCUUAUAAUUAUAUUACAUGGAAAUUAUGCUUCAAAUAAUAAUGUAAAUUUUAAAUUUUGAAUUUAUUUCUUUAAAGAGCAACUUAAAAGUUCAAUAGUUUAAAUGAAGUCAUUUCUAGAAGAGACUUUCUAUUUUACUUUAGCUAGUUUUGGAUUAGAAAUUUAUAACAUUUUAAUUUAUGCUUUGAUUAUUGUUCUAAAUCUAUUUGAGGUAAAAGUCAAUUAAUUAGAUGUUUGAUUAGUUAAUUAAGGUCAUUCAUGUGUUAAGCUCUAAGGUUUAACAUAUAAAAUGAUAAUAAUACCCUUAGCCUCCAGGUUUGAGGUGUCACAAUAUUAAAUAUGUGAAUAUUCAAGUUUUGAUUUGUACCUGGAGGAGAUAUUAAUUUUAUAUCCAAAAAUUCAAAUUUUCAUAAUUAUUAUUUCUUUCAUCAAUAUGAGAUAUAUAUCAUAUAUCAAAAAAGAGAGUAAUCUCACAAUAGGUACAUGAUAUACUUGAAAAACCAAAACAAAAAAACCUCCAUCUUUUAAAGGACAUUGUGUGUGAAAAUAUUUUAAUAAUAUUAUUAUAGUUUAUAACAAGUUAUUGGACCAACUCAAUUCAUAUUAUUGUAUCCCAUUCUAUAUCAUAAGCCAAUUGUUGGUACACGGCCAAUAAUGCUUUGUUUGACUAGCUUCCUUUGAGAGAACGACGAGUGUACUUGUAACAAAGAGUGUUUGGAUAAUUUUUCUAGGCACCCCCUUCGAAGCUUAAGUUAGUUUACGGAAGAGACAGACAAGAAUUUUUGGGAACUUGUGUUAUACUAGGGUUCUAAGGCACAUGUCUUAAUUUUUGGGAACUGCACACGCUUUGCUUCAUUUUCCCUUGAUACUUUUUCUUCAUUGCAUUCCAAAUAUGUUUGAGGUCCUUUAACUUCAAAGCUUCUAAUUCUACUCUCGGUAUAUCUAUCAACAUGACUCUAGUUGUUGGUUCUACUACAUUAGAUUCCAUAACGUUCUAGUACUCCUUGGAUCUUAGGAAAUUCUCCAUCAACAUGUCUCCAAUGAUCAUAGUGACCAUCGAAGCAUGGGAUAGUUGGUUGCACAAGAUUUUCAAAGGUCAUUGUUCUUCAGUGUUGUUGCUACAAAAAAGAAAACAAGUAAAAUAGAAAAAACUACAGGUACAGACUCUAUCGCACACCCCUUUUCCCUUGACCUAGACUUUUUUUUUUCUUUUCCUUUUAUUAUUUAUCACCCCCUCCUUUUCACAUUUUGAUGCCAUUGUUACAGAAUUACUAAGAAAAGUAAAUAAAGUUGCAAGUAAAAAAAAAAAACACACAACAAAGACAUAUUUUUUGCUAUAGAUUUUCAUUAACGAACAACCUUUAUAUAGACAAUUAAACCAAUGGUAAAAAGUAAAAAAAAUGGCAACAGACCAAGACCACUACCUAAAGUGCUCUAUAAUUAGACACAUAAUACAAUGAGAAAAAACUACUUUGCUAAACAAUACAUCACCACUACUACAUUACACAAUGUGCCAAAAAUAGACUCUCCUAAUAAUCAAGCUCAACAAAAGAUCAUAGUAUUGACCAUGAUACGUACAUACAAUAACCAUAAUACUAUUAAAAGAUCCUAUUGACCAAGACAACAAAUAACUCAAAAACUUAAAUAAAUUAAAUAAUAAUUUCAAUAAUUUGAAGAUUUUUAGUAUUGGCAUUAGGUCAUGGAGGGAGAAAAAGAAUGAUAUCAUGUGUCAAUUUUAUUUAUUUUUUAUGAUUUUUUAAAAAAUUUCAAUGUUUUAUUUUUAAAAAUUGGUGAAAACAACUUCUACUUGUUUUCUAUUUCACUUAUAAACAUUAUGAAUUUUUAAAAAUAGUUUUCUAUUUUAAACAUAAAAAGAAACUCCAAGGAAAGAACUCUUGUUUAAGAAAGGUGGCAAUUUUAAGUUAAAAGUUUAUAUAUAUGUUGAUUGGGUUGGCUCCAGGGUAGACGGAAGAUCGACUAUGGGGUAUUGCACCUUCUUAGGAGGGAAUAUAGUCACUUGGAGAAGUAAGAAACAACCAAUGGUGACUUGUUCUAGUGCAAAGGUAGAGUUUAGGGUAAUAGUGCAAGGAAGAUGCGAACUACUUUGGUUGAAGAUAAUACUCUCAAACUUGCAAGUGAGAGUGAAGAUGCUUUAUUGCGACAAUAAAGCAGCUAUAAAUAGAACACAAAUCUCAAUUCAACAUGACCAGACCAAGCAUGUGGAAAUUGAUAGAUAUUUUAUAAAAGAAAAGCUUGACUCUAGACAAGUUUGUCCUCCAUAUGUUUCAUCCUCUAACCAACUUGCAGAUGUGCUCACAAAAGGAUUAUCAAAUGCAAACUUUCAAUAGAUAAUUAGCAAGCUUGGGAUACGAAAUAUCUUGGCAUCAGUUUGAGGGAGAGUGUUAGAAAAGGAAAUAAUUUGUAGGAAUAGGCAUUUUUCCUAUCAAUUAGCUAUAUAUUUACAAUUGUAUUAUUCCCAUUGAUGUGUUCUGCUAUGUAUAGCAUGUUAGGAUAUUUUUCCUAGUUUAGAGCUCUAUAAGUCAACUAGUGUAUUCUAUAUAUCUUGUAAUAUUUUUUUCAAAGUAAUAUAUCCAUUUUUUAUCACUCUUUCACAAGUCUACACUUUAAAUUACACAUACUUUUAUAAUUUUCUUUUAAUUUCUCUAAAAUUUUUCAUAAAGCAAUUAAAUUUUAAAUCAAACUAUGUUUGAUACAUAAAAUUUAUUAAUUUUUAAAAGUAAUUUGAAACUUAAAAACUAAUUUAAUUAGUACUCGAAAGUUAUGGAACUCAAUAACAUUAGAAAGUCAUAGACCAAAAUUUAUUUAAAAUGACUUUGUUAAUUUCUUCUAUAUAUCAUAUUUUUAUAAAUUUUUUAUCUAGAUAAAUAAACUCCAAAUUGAGCAAGACUUAAUGUGUUAAAUUUAUUAAUGAGUAUAAUAAUUCUUUAUAAAAAAAAGGCAAAGGUUGAAUUUGUUAGAUGAAAAUGAAUUUUGACUGGCAAUUGUCUAGUUGUGUGUCUCGUUGUUCCAUAUAUAGCAGCAUGAGGACAUUAGUGGUUGCCAUAGACUGGUUGCUUUUUUGUGGCAGAGAAAGAGUUUCAAUUUGAGCACCCCUGGAUGAAUGGGGAAACAUGGCCAUCUUCAGGAGCAUAGAACUGUUAUUUGUACGAUGUUUUUGUUUUUAGCUGCCUACUCAAUUCCGAAACUGAAUUUGAAUGACUCCCUUGUAUUUUAGGUAGCAUUUGACAGUUGAAGUCAGUUAUGUUUAAUGGCUCCAUUAUAGUACUAUUGUCAUACAAAUAGAAGGGUGCAAUUCAAUUCUCAUAAGACAUGGAAACACGACUAUAAGAUAUUGGAAAUUGAUUUGAAGGUUCCCUUGGUACAUCCCAGGCACUAUAAAUCCUGUUUUUGUGUUGGGACAUUAAGCCUGCUACGAUUCUUUGAUUAUGCAAUUCACAGCAAUUGUUACUAGCUUCCUACAUAAAAAUGGUUUCUCAAGUAUUCAAUAUCUUGACUAGACAAUCUAAGGCUCUUUCUCACUGUUCUAUAACUCCAUAGAAUUCAAUAUCUUGAUUUGCUCACUCUUCUGGUCAUGUUAUUUGGAAUUUCAUGGCAUUUUCUUUUAUUGAAGUGCACCAUUUUUUUUUAAUUUUUUUUUUUGUAGGUAGCAAAGAGGAGGUAUUUUUUGAUUCGCAACCCUGGUUAGAAUCUGAUUGUGAAAAUUUCUUCAGCAUCAGUGCUCGUAAGAUUAACUUAAAUUUUUCAUGGAAAGAAAUUCAUUUUUUUCCUGGUUAUCUUCAGAGGAGUAUGGUGUGUUUUGCUGAGGGCCACAACUAAAAUAGGCAUUGCAGUAUGGGAAAAUUUCUUGGUUCUAUUUCAUGCAGAUUCAACACUACCCUAUCAUGGCAAUAUAUACUCCAAUGAACCAAAGCAGUUUCAGAGAAACUCCUUGACUUGAUAGAUCUCUUUCUAUGAACAAAACACCCAAUUCCAUGACUGAACCCUCCCCAUCUGAUAAGAAGAAACUGAUUGAGCUCUUCCAAGAGAGCUUUGACGAUGAUCCAUUUGAAGGCGAUCAAGACCUACAAGGAAUAGAAAGUAAUAUGGAAAAUGGAAGGCUGAAAGCCAAGGCUACCAUUUUUUUACUUUCUUCCAAAUAGAGGUUGCAGUAGUGAAAGAACUCCAAAUAGAGGUUACAAACCUGAGAGAGAAAUCCGCUCACUCUGCACAGCGUUGCCUUCCCGGUUUGGUUCGGAGUCUGAGCUUUAGUGAUAGGAAGAGGAGGCUCAGCCCUGCCCACAGUAGCUGUAGAAGGUAAGCCAAGCUUUGCUCUGUAUGUGCUUUCAGGUGAAGUUUUGCUUCAAAAUCAGCAUUACUGAAAGAAUUUGGGGUCUCUAAUUCCCUUGUUCAACUUUAUUUGUCCUUCUUUGGGCAGAGUUGUAAAGUGAUCCAUGAACCAGAUGCCUCGUUUCACUGUUUUAUAGGAACGAAAAAUGAUUGAAUUUGUAUUCAUUAGUCUGCCUCCAUGAUGUUAGAGUCCUGAUCAAUCUAUAAGUUUUGUUGUAAGUUGAUGGGUGCUGCCUCUGAAGAAAUUCUUCAAAGCCCCUUGUAUAAAGAGUCUUGGUUGGUGCUUCCCUGUCUCAUAUAAAAAUCAAUUGGCAUGGGAUCACAAUAUAGACUGAAGACGACUUGACCUCAGUCUUUAGCCUAUAUCGCUUCUGGCCUCUCUGUUUCCUUCCUUUCUGGCCUGAGACAUGCCUCCUAUCGUGCUUUUCCUCCCUGCCUCCUACUUUAUGAAAUAUUUUUCAUUGGUCUACAAUUAACUCAUAUCUCUAUCUAUAUUUCAAUAGAGCUUCUUCCUCGCUAUAAUUACAGUCUUUAUAAGUAACAGAACAUCUAAAAGAAAAAUAAUUACAAACAAAUAUUUCAAACAUACAAUUCUUUAACACUAGUACCAAAUCAAACCUUCAUUCACCAUAUGGAUUCCUCCAUUGUAUUCGAUCUGAAACAAGUAAAUACACGUAAUAAGCUUCAAAUUUCACAAGCUUAUGUUCAAUAUCAUAUAUUUUUGUAUGAUCAACCUAAUAGCAGAUCAAAAGUUUCUCUGUCCAUGACUUCAAUUAACAACAAAAAUAUUCACAAAGAUGAGGAAGUGUUUAUAUCUAAUGGUAUAAGUCAUAGUAAUCAUGAGAGUAUAUCUCUCCAUAAAUUUAGAGACUUCUAACCAAGCAAAUUGUAGUCCUAGCUACUUGCUUGUAUUUUGGCAUUUAAUCUCGGAGAUAUGUAUCCUUACAACUCCAUUGAGAAAAUCACUUUCUACAACUUUAGAGAAUUGAAUCAAUUAUAGAUUUAUAGAUUCCCUAGGACGCUUUGUUUAAGGGUUUAAACUCAGAAAUUGAUUACCUUAUACAUAUAUCAUUCUUUGAUCCUAAUAUAUCAUUCUCUUUAUUGAUAACAUUCAAUGGUCACAAAAAUAAGGACUUCGUUAAAAAAAAUGAAUCUAGUUGUUAGAAAGGAAAAACUUUUACAUGCAUAUAAGUUAUAAGCAUCUAAUUAAUCGGCAUUUAACACCAUCCUAUAAAGAUUAAUUUCAUCAAAAGAAUUCAAGUUCACUUCUAACUUAUCUUCAGUUCAUAAUAUGAUUUGAGUGCUUAAAGCACUACAAUUUUCGUAAACUCUAAAUUCAACAAUACGAUCAUUCAUUUUUUUAUUUUUUUUAUUUUUGUGAAUUUAAACCAUUUUUUCCAAUUAAUUAAGAAAUCAUUUAAUAAAAUUUGAGUAUAUAUAACAAGAUUAAUAGAAUGUGUGAUGAAGAUAGGUUUGCAUUACCUUAUGCAUUGGAAUUCAUCUUCCCUUUGUUUUUUUUUUUUUUUUUUUUUAUGAUUUUGUUAUUUUGAAAUCACGUCACCCUCUGCAAAAUAGAUGAAUUCAUUCUGAUGAUAAUUCACACAAAAAAUUAAAAUAAAUAAAUAAACAAGGAAAAAGAAAGGGAAAAUAUGCAAGAUAACUCACCUCUUCAACCUUGAGCUCCACCAUUUCUUUUCAUCUUCCUUCGGAAACGAGCCACAUUCACUGCAAUAAAGACAUACAUCCUAUCUUUCGCUUCACCAACAAACCGAAAAUAAGCAUGCCUCCAAGACUUUUUUAGAGCCAAAGUGCCACAUACAGCCCAAAAUCCCACCGGGAAGCCCAAUCCCAUGCUUGUGAAGAACCACAAUGUUUCCCACCCAUCGUCAUGAUCUUCCUUCUCAUCUUCCUCAUCUUUGUGAUCUUCAUUAGGAGUGGAGCACUGGGUUGACAAUGGAAGCCCACAAAGUGCCAGGUUACCCUCAUACAUGGAUGGAUCAUUGAAUGUAGGGAAUUGGUUGGUUGUUGGAAUGGGUCCUGACAGGAGGUUAUGCGACAAGUUCAAAUCGCUCAAUGAGGUUAUAGAAGCCAUGCUCAGAGGAAUUGGGCCUGAAAGGCGGUUGCUCGAGAGGUCCAGAGUUUCUAACCCUUGCAUGGCUCCAAUGUCCUCGGGUAUCUUUCCAGUCAAUUGGUUCCGGGACAAAUUCAAGGUACCCAAGGUUGAGAGAUUUUUAAUCCCAUGUGGAAUCUCUCCCCAUAAGUUAUUCCUAGAAAGGUCUAUCAACUUCACAAUUGAAAGUAUCCUCUCAAAUUCCAUUUCUUUUCCCUUCACAACUAGCUCCAUUCCCUCCGUGUAGUAAUAAUCAGUAUAUAGGUAAUCUGGAGAAGGAUCUAAUAAGGUCACAUGAUUCAUAGCACUCAAAUGGCCUAAGCAUGGAGGGAUGGAUCCUGAUAGAUUAUUAAGUGCAAGGUCCAAAAUGCGGAGAUCAGAAAGCCCACAUAGUUGCUCAGGAAUAUUUCCGGUCAGCAUGUUGCCUCGUAAGCGUAGCUGCUUCAGUGAUGACAUUCUUUCUCCGAUCCAUUUGGGUAUCUCACCUGAAAACCUGUUAUUUCCAAGAUCAAGGGAGUACAGACUGCAGUUUUGUAAGCUUGGAGAGAGUUCCCCAGAAAGAUGGUUGUCGCCCAGUUUCAACAAGUAAAUUACAUGGAUUGAACAUAUGGAACUUGGAAUCUCGCCAUACAGUCUGUUCUUGGAUAGAUCAAUGAUGCCAAGCAUUUCCAUAUCUUUCCAAUGAUUGGGAAUCUUUCCAGAUAAAUGGUUAUUUGAGAGAUCAAUAAUCCUCAAAUACUUCAGGUUAGUUAAUGAUGAUGGGAUGGUCCCAUUCAACAAGUUCCCCGAAAUAGUCAGGACUCUCAAACUUGAUAAUUCCCCAAUAUUGGACGGAACUGGACCUGAAAAUAAAUUGUUCCCCAAAACAAGAUAUGUCAAAUUAUACCAAAGUGGGAGUGGACCCUCUAAGCGGUUGAAACUUAAAUCUGCCAUACUCCAUCCAUGCGAUGUGCUGAAGGAUAAGGGACUGGGAGGCUUUCCCCUCAAUUGGUUCCUGGAAAGAUCUAACCACCCAAGCUGUGGAGACAACUUCCAAAGCCAUUCUGGUAUAGUGUCUGAAAUCCCAACAUUAUGGAGGAUUAUUUGGUAAAGUUCCUUCUGAGUUCCGAGCCAGGCAGGGAAUGUUUGAGACAGUAUGCAGUUGCCGAUUCUGAUAACCUUGAGACUGAAAGGAGGAAUCCAGUCACUUGUAAUAUCGAAAACCAGAGAGUUGUUUGUAGCCGGUGAUAAGUAUGAGGAGAAAUAUUCCAGUUUUAUAAGACCCAUGAAGUGAAUUUCGGAUACCCUCCCCUUCCAAGGAUUCCAAUCAAAUGUUAAGGUAAGGAGCUCUUUAAGUUGUCCUAUACUUUCUGGGAUGGUCCCAUUCAUUCCGUUGUGAGAGAGGUCCAAUUCCUCCAACAACAACAGCCUUCCAAUGGAUGCUGGAAUUGAACCCGAGAUUGAGUUGUCACUAAGAUCAAGAUAUCUUAAGUUGUCAAGGUUUCCUAUUGAAUCAGGGAUCAGGCCGCUCAAUUCAUUUUUAGACAAAUCCAGGUAAUUCAAAUAUUUCAAGUCAAGCAAGGAAUCACUUAUCUGGCCAAUUAAACGAGACAAGGGAAAUGCUGCUUCAUCGGAUUGAUAAGGGUUUUUGAGGUCUAGCUUUAUAACAUGUCCUGUCCCAUUAUUGCAAUCCACGCCUUGCCAUUUGCAACAAUCUCCACCAACCCAAGAAGAAAGCCGACCUGAAGGGUCUUCCAGACCACCUUUGAAUUUAAGAAGGGCUUUCCGCUCCAUCUCAAUGCAAACUACGUCCCUAUCACCAUCAGUGGAAUUGAUCACAAGGGCUUCAAGUAAGAAAAAUUUUAGAAAUAAAGGAACCAAAAGAAGGAUAAGAAAUAUGAUGAAGGUUUUCCUGGUCGCCAUUGCUAAUGCUCUACAAAGAUAGAUCACAGCAAAGACAGUAUUUCUUUAUAGGUAGAUACCAUUAGUCUUUUGUUGGAUUUAUUUAAUAGUAAGUCUUCAUAUAAACCAGCUCAAAAAAUUUAAGGAGCAAAGACCUUUCGGCCAUAUAUGGGCCAACCUCGUCUACCGCAUUCAACUAACAUUGCAAGAAAAAUAAUAAUGAAAACACUAGGAAAAUGUGAUUGCUUGUUUGACUCAAAAGCAGAUAGUAAAGUAUCUUGUGCUUCAUCAAGUUAACAGACAAGACUUUAGAUUUAUCGAAGUUUUUGAAUGGAUAGACAUGCUGCAAGUUCAAAUCAUAGCUGGCCCAAUUCAUAAUUAAUUAUACUAAUUACCAAAGCCUUCCAAGUUAAGUUAUUGUCAAAAUAAAAUAAAAUUGUGUAAGAGACUUUUUACUGUAACAUAUGUCAACUACCAAAUCUUUAAAGUUUUAAGUCAUUGUCCAAGGGAGAAAAAAAUCUAAGGAAAAAGUCUUCAUCUUUUUUCUUGUCCACAUGUCAUGGACGAUUUGUUUAAACGAAGAAUCCAGAUGUAUUAUAUAAUAUAUGUAUUAUCAUUAUUUUAUUUUAAUUUGAGAGAUACUUGAGGCAAGUGUAUUAAGAUACUUUCAAACUCAAGUCUUUCCAUGUGUGUGCUUUUACACUUGGUUCGGUGGUCCAAUUAAUGGUCCAAACAAUACUAAUAGACUAACUUCUUCUUUUGUUAUAUCAUUGAUUUACAAUACUAACAAGAAGAUGGAUAUUUAAAAUAAAUAUACAUUCAUGCAUAAGAUAAUAAAUAUGAAAAUAAUAUAGGUAAAAAAUACACUAAGAUAAUAAUUCGAUCAAUAUAAUAAAUAGCCAUUGGAAGCAUAUAAAAUUAACCAAUAAAAUUUUAUUUUUUCAUAUGUAACAUAUUUUUUAAUAAUUAAAUAAUAUAAUAUAAUUAUUUAAUAAAAUUAGAAAUAUUAAAAUCUAUAUAAAUAUAUUAUGAUUUUCUAAUUUUAUUUAUACAAAUAUCACAAGUUAAUUAUAAUUGAACCAUCGUAUUGAUUUUAACAUUUCAUAUUUAUUCAUUUGUUCAUUUUAAAAAUAUUAAUAUAAAUCAUUAAUAUAUAUUUAAUAAUAAUUUGACUUUUGUAACCUAAUCCAAAUAUUUAACAGUAAUUUGACUUUUGUGGAGUAAUCAAAUUUAUUUUGUUAAAAGAAAAUGAUUAAAUCUGAAAUUUAUUUACUUAAUGGUCUAAAGUUAAUUAACCCUUUGAAUUUUCUUUUUUUCUUUUUUUUCUUGUUAAGACAAGCGAAUUGUUUAUUUCUUAGAAAAUUAAAGAGAAAAUGUAAAUAAAAAAUAAAAAAAUUUUAAAAAAAUAAAAAAUUUAAAAUUUAAAAAAAAAUAAAAAAUACUAGAAUCAAUGUAUUAUAUUAUUUUUAUAUUCCUCUUUAUUAAUGAAAAAAAAUUUAUUAAAAUAUGCUGAGGUUAAUUGUUUUUAGUUCCUUUAUUUUAAAUUUUUUACUUUAUUUUCCUUCAAUGUUAUCUUUCCUAGUAAUAUAAAUGUGGAUUUGGGAAGUACAUAUGUCUAUAUAUGCCUAUCUUGUGUAUUUCAAAUUUAGAGCCGAAAUCUAGUCAAAGAGAAACAAUAACCCGAAAUUCAACCCGGUUGGCCAGCCACUGAUGAAAGGUCUCUAAAGAUUGGUGUCUUCUUCGCUUCACAGCGAUGAAACGCAUAGCCGGGGACGAAAUCACCGGCUAUCUAGUUCGGCUUUCAAAUCUCUAGUUUCGGUUCUCAUGCUAGCCAUGUUCGCCACCAUGACAUCGAUUUACGUCAUCUGCUGGUGAGUUCUCACAUUGUUUCGUAUUGUGAAAUGAUUUUCGUUUCUUAGCUGUAAUAUUGCUUCUGGUGUGGUUAAUUUUGUUAAUUUAGGUUUUUGAUUAUAAUUGGUCUAUUUUGUUCAAAAAUAAAUAAAUAAAUAAAUUGUUUUUAUGGAAAUAUGCUAUUAGUAGGCUAUGGCUGGAUUAUGAGAAUAGGGUUUAUUUGAUUAGAGAGCUUGAUAUUGUUAUUCAAUUUUAGCUUCAAAUUUUCUUCCCCACAAUUUUGUUAAUGCAUUUUUUGGGAUUAUUUUGUUAUCAAGAUUAAAUUAUAGAAUUAUAAUGAUACAAAGGGGGUCUUGACAUUGUAUGGAACUGGAAUCAGUCCAUCAUGGUUUAGAUUAAUUAUAUGUUCUAUAGCAUUACAUUGCAAUGCUAAAUAAACUAGUGAUUUGCAUGAGCUCAUGUUUUUUUCUUUUUUUCUUUCUGUUUUCGUCUUUUUUAUUUUUCUUUUAUUGAAACAAUUGGAGUUGAUACUAGCCUAUUUUCAUUUUUUGAAAUUAAUCAUUCAGAGUAAUUGACUAGAUAAUGGGUUUUUCCAUUUUAAUAGUUUUCAGGUGCAAUGAGCCAAUGACACACUGCAAAUUAUAGCAUGCAGGUAAAUAAAUUAUAGCUAUCCUUCCUUUAUGUGGGGUUUUUUUUGGGGCUUUUGUUAUAAUAGACAAAAUAUAAUCUAGAGGUCAUGGUGAUGUUUCUUCAAUUUUAUAGGAACAACAGAAGAAGUUAGCAGCCCUUGAGAUGGAGCUAGUUGUAGCACAACAGGAAGAUUUUAUCUCAAAGAACUUGUCAGAAAAUAAGGAGACUCCUCCUAAGAAAAAGCUUUGUUGUAGGAAUUAUGACAAAGUUUGGCCACAAGAACAAUAGAGAUGCAAUCCGUAGGGGAUGGAUGCCAACUGGUAGAAUACCCUUCUUUUUGUAAGUUUCGCUUUUUAUUCUUUGUAUGAUUUACAUAGAGAAUGACCCAGUUGCCACUUAACACAUUGACAUUUCUGUUAUAAGCAUAUAAGGGAUAAAAACAGGAGGCUUGUAGGCUGAACUCUUAUUAACAUGGAAACUUUUAGUGGACUUCCAUUUCUCUUCUAUUCUUUUUUCAUUGUUUUGUAUAUUUUCUUAGUUUGCAAUAGUCAUCUUUCAAUAGUUUGCAAACUCCAUCAACCAAUUUGAAAAGCCUUGGAGCUAAUAGGGGCAAAUUAUGAGAAGCUAAAAUCUUCUUUCUCUAGGAUUUUUCUGAAGUUGCUCAAUUGAAUGGAGAGCAAAAAACCAUCAAGUGCCCCUGCCCCUGCCCCUGCCCUGCACGUACCCUCUAUACCCCUAUUUACAGAAAUUUUGAGUUUGUCUUUAACGUAAUAAGGGAGACAAUAGUUUGUAUAAUAAUGAAACAGGAAGUAAUAUUGUGAUUCACUGCUGCAAAAAUUAAUAUUGACAUAACUUAUGUGCUAAACUGCACUUAUAUGCUUAGCACAAAAGUAUGUCAUUCUUCAUUUGAGAGCAUUACUUUAAACCUUAUAUGUUAACAUCACUUUUGCCAUAACUAAUCUUUCUUUCUUUCCCUUUAUCCAAGACAAUGCAUAUCAAGUGAUUGAUACUUAAGUUAAUAGCCUUAGCGCACACAUGGGGUGAAGUUUGAAUCCAGAAUUUCCCAAUAGUCUUAAUACGCUUCCUCAGGUGUGUUUCAAACUUAAGACGUCAAUGUUAAACCACCACUUUACCAAAAACUUUUAAGUUACUAAGUAAUAGGCCAGCAAUGGGAUAUUAAGGCAACUAACAGGUAGGUUAAUAGCCUGAGCAAUCAUCUUAUAAUGUUUAAUGGUUCAAAUAUUGACAAUAAAAACACUUACAAAAGCAUGAUGACUUACCCAUCGUUUUCAUACAGAUACUCUGGAAGCAACUCUUGCUACUCAUUUGAAUAAGCCUCGAGUUUAUAUUGGGUGUAUGAAAUCAAGCGAAGUUUUCUCAAAGUUGUGAGUAUAAUCAAAGUUUUUUUUUUCUUCUUCUAAUGAUGAGAAAAUGAGUUGUUUAUGAUAUUCUACUUUCAUAUAUUGUAUUAUCUUUCCGUAUUGUCUGAAUUAUGCAGGAUCCACAAGUAGUAAGAACCAGACUGGUAGAAACUUGGUGAUGGAAAAUCGUGAGUAAUUCUGUAUUGAUUUCAUCUUGUCUCUUAUAUUAAGAUAAGUAACUAUUACUUUCUAGUUCUGUUAACUAGUUAGGAAGUCUCUUAGUAUCUUAGAAUUCAUCUAAUAGGUGAUAGAAGUCCCAAUGAACAACUAGGGCAUUGUCCCAUAGGAGGCUUGCUUGAUAAAGAAUCAAAGUACCGUUUCUGAAGUUUUUUGGGCAUUUAAACAAUUUAUCAUUCCAUCAUAUUCUUGACAUCUGUUACACUUAAUUUGCCUACCCCAUGCACCCAUAUUUAAACCAUCUCAACUCUGACUUGUGUCGAGGUAUCCUGGAGUUGGUAGAGGGACGCCUUCUCGGGAAGUCAGGCUUACAUUGGCUGAAGAUACAUUUAGCAAAUUUAUUUGCUAGUGGAAUGGACAAGUUAUCGUAUGAGGGUUGGGUAGCAUUUACUGAGAAUCAUUUGGAAGAUAUCUUUGAUUCUGUAGACGUACCUUUGGAAGGAAGACGUUGGUGGUUGUCUGCCUAGGAUCCUCUCCAAUGUUCAUGUAUUAAUCUCUCAAAAGCAUUAAGAAGCUCCCUUCCAAAAACUACUAUUUCACACAUGCUUGUCCACCAGGUACUUCAUUCUUAGCAUGAUCAUAUUCAAACUGAGAAAUGUUUACCGAGUGAAAUCAAAUUAAUCCCACCUCCUUCCUACUCCACCCAACCCCACAAUAAAAAGGAAAUCUCAAAACUAGCUUUUAUUGGAAUUCUGUUCUAUGCAUAGGCAUAUCAUUUGUUAUCCUGUGUAUUUUGUAUGAACUCCUCCAAGUAACUAUAUAGCUCUUCUGCAUUUACACAUGGAAAAUGACAGUCACAUGAUUAUACAUACCCUUUAGAGUACCCCAUUUGUUACCCCAUCAUUAGGAGCAGAAAUAAUGGAUCUGCCACUUCUUUCACAGCCCUGUCUUAUGUUUGCGCUAUCCUACUAUAGUACGCUUGAGAGGAUAACAGACAUUUCCUUGAAUUUACUUUUGUUUUCAUAUUAAAUGCUUAGAUUCAGGUCAUUUGUUUGUCCAAAACUUAAUUUAAGAUUGUAUUGUUCUAUCUUUUUCAAGGAUGGCUCAUGCAAUGGCUUACGACACUAUGUUGCCCUUGGAAGGGACAAGGUAUUGGAAUUUUAUGUUUUUGGUUGAUUGUUGUGGAGUUCUGAUUAUGUGAUAUGGAAGCAUGGUUUUUGAUUAGUUAGACAUAGUUUUUCGCUCUUUUUCUGCUUUGAGGCUAAAUUUGUCUCAGCUUUGAUCUUCUCUCUUUUUGAUAGAAAGAAGGAACUUUGUUAAGGAAAGAUGGUAAAAGGAUAAGGAGUUGGAAAUUGAAACCCAAGAAAGAAACCAAACUUUGUUUGAGUUUAGUGCAAUUUAUUUAAUUUGACUUUUCAAGUAAUUUCAAAGUUUGGUUGUUUCAAGAAAGGGGAUUAUCAUUGGUAUUUGGCAAGUUCAAAGGCUAGGGCAGCAGAUCAGUCUCUGAAGACUGAAUUUUAGUUAGAACUUAGUAUUGGAGGAGAUAAUUUUUCUUGUUUAUUGAAGUUUCCUUAUCCUUUGACAGCAGAACUUUGAAUUGGGGAUCAUUAAUUGAUUAUGCAGUUCGGAUACAUAUAUAUAUAUAUAUAUAUAUUUGGAUUAUGCAAUAUUAGAAAUUAAAAUUUUGUUCUGAAAAAUGUAGCAGGACCUCUUCAAUAUUGAAAUGAGAAUUUUAAUCAAAAUAUUUGAAAAAAUAUAUAUUCAAGACUUCAGCUGUGUCCACAUAAUAACCUAUGGCACCGGGCAAGGAAAAGUGGCAUGCAUAUGAAGCCCUAUAGUUGCAAUUGACAAAAGGUCAUGUAUAUAAGUACUAUAUAGUAUUAAAUUUUGUAGAUAUCACACCUUUAUAGCAGCAACUAUCAGCUGUCCCAGCCACAUAUAGAGCUUUUAGUUGAGAAAAAAACAUGAUCGCGGGGAUAGCUUCACAACUUCUACUUGUAUUUUUUUACCAGUGGCUGCAAGUAUAGGAUUUAUUCUGCAUCCCUAUGGCCUUCGCCGCUAUAAACUUACAACACUUGCAACACUUGUAUUGCACAACUCUUUGUCAAUGGUUGUAAAAAAUAGUUUUCUAUUUUUUGAGAAUUGAAAAUAAGAAAAUCUUGUUUGACAAUAAGAAAAUAGUUUUUGUUCUUAAAAAAAAAAAAUGUGUUUUCAAUUGUUUUUUAUGAUUAUUUUUAAAAAAAUAAUAAGAUAAAUAUAAAGAAUAAUUAAAAAUAAAAUGUUACAUACAAAACUUAUUUUUUUGAAAAAUAUUUGAAAGCAAAAAAUACGUUAAAAAUAUUUCAAAUUCUUAAACAAAUUUUUAUCAUAUAAAUAUUAGAGAAUUGUUUUUUAAAACCAUUCUUAAAAACUUUUUUUUUUUUUUAGAACAAUUUUCAAAAUCAUUUCCAAGCUGACUUAUAACCCAUUUGACAGUGAUUUUAGAAAAUAUUUCUAAUAUUUUUAAUACUUAAAAAAUUUUAUCAUUCAAAUGUUAAAAAAAUUAGAAAUAUUUUCUAAACUUACUGUCAAAGACAUUUUUAAAGUAUGUUUGACAAUGCUUUUAAGAAGUGUUUCUAAUCUUUUUAAUACUUGAAAGAUAAAAAAUUUUAAGUGUUAAAACUUAAAAUUAUUAGAAGUCCUUCCUAAAAUCACCACCCAAUAAACUCUAAUUCUCAUUACCAGAGGCUUGUAGGGGCUUUUAUAAUUUACCUCCCAAUCAUGUUAAAUAUGUGGUAACCAUGUUAAGAGAUUUUAGGUUAGCAUUGGCUAGUUUGUGCUUAUAUGUACUUAAUUUUUGUUUUUAAAAAUAGAAAAUGAAGGUAACUUCAAUAUAAAAUAUUAAAACUUUUGGAGACUUAUUAAAAAAAUUUAUAGUGAUUUUUAAAGAUAUAAGAUGAGUUUAUACUUUUGGUAUAAAAUUUUCUAUUUUUAAUAUAAAAAUUAUUAUUACUUUUUGUGAUUAAAAAUAUGUAUAAAAAAAAAGGUCAGUAUAUAAAUAAUAAAAGUUGAAAGAACAUUUUCAAAUGUGGGCUAAGUCUAAUACUUAAUAUUAAAUCAUCUCUCAUUCAAAUAAUAGUCUUUAUAAAUAAUAGAAUAUCCUAAAGAAAUAUGGUUAUGGACAAAUAUUUCAAACAAAUUUCUCAAACACUAGUAUGAAAAGAAACUUUCAUUAACCAUGACGAGCUCCCUGUUUCAAUCUAAAACAUGUAAAUAAGUAUAAUUUACUUUAAUUUAAGCAAGAUUUAGAUUUAUAUUAUGGACCAUAUAGUAAACCUAAGAGAUGAUCACAAGUUUCUUAGUCCAUGACUUCAAUUAAUAGAAAAAAUAUUUAAAAGCUCAAUUUUGUUGGAAUUUUGUUCAAUUCAUUCUAGUUUGAGACUUUUUAUAAUUUCCCAUAACUUACACCCCAUUAAAGAUAUAAGAAUAUUUAGAGUUAACUAGAUAUUAGAUAGCAUAAGUAUAAAGAGUUAUGAAAAGGAUAAUAACUUUUAAUUGAAAAAGAUUUUGGAGAUCGAGUGCUCAAGCACUUGAAUCUAGCUUUCAAGGCUUGGAGCACUCAAAAGUGGGGUUUCCAAAACAUAAGUUUGCAUACAACCCUCAUUAAAAAUAAAAAAAUGAUUGCAUAUAUAUAUAUAUAUAUAUAUCCAUGGUUUAAAUAAAACAUUCCUUAUAUUUACAAUAAGUUUAUUUUAGAGUGUUGUUUUUAUAUUAUAACAAUGUUGUUAGGCCAUAUUUUGCUAAACAAAAUGAAGAGAAAACACAUUAUUUGGAAAAUAUUCUACAACUAGAGGUGAUGAGGUUUACCAUAUUUUUCAAUAAUGUACAAUUAGCUCAAGCACUUGAAGCUUAUACCAAAAAUAUAUUUCAAUCAAUAAUGGACAAAAUUUUUGAAUGGUACUUAGUGAUAAUCAACUACCAAAUUAACAUAAACAUAAAAGUUGAAAGGACAAUUUUAAGGCAUAGAUGACUCAAAAAUAUCAAAAGUAGGUUGAGUAUCCAACCUAAUAUUACAACUUUUCUCACUUAAAUGACAAUUCAUAAAUAACAAACCUACCUGAAGAAAAAUAAUUGUUUGCCAACAUUUCAAAGAUAGAGUUCUCAAAUACUACUAGUACCAAAAGCAAUCUUUAUUACCACCGAGAAUUCAUCAUUGUAUUCAAUCUGAAACAAGUAAAUACACAUGAUUAGCUCCAAUUUAAGCAACAUUUAGAUUUUCAUCAAAGAAUAUAAACAACAUGUUCAAUAUUAUUAUUAUUAUUAUUAUUACUCCAAUUUAAGCAACAUUUAGAUUUUCAUCAAAGAAUAUAAACAACAUGUUCAAUAUUAACAAACUUGGUUAUUGAGACUGUUUAAAUUCCUAUAGUUUUCAUACUUGUGGUAUUAACCAUACUCAAGUGAGUAUAUUUGUCAAUAAAUUUAGAGUUUCAACUAAUAACCUAUAACAAUCUAUAAUCUUAGUUGCUUGCUUGUAUAUUUUUUGGAGUUGAAUCUUAGAAAAAAUUACACAUAUCUUAACCUUCCCUAUGAAAAUCACAUUCUGCAACUUCAAAGAGUUGAACCCAAUUAUAAACUUCCUCAAUCCUCUUUCUAAUGACUCAAACUAGGAGAUUGAUUACCCUAUGCAUUGUAUUUAGGAACUUAAUUGUAGUAAGGGAAGAGAAACAACUUAUAUUCAUAUGCAUAGUUGAAGGGUCUACAAAUAUGUCGCUUACUAUAACAUGAUUCAAACAUUUAAAUGAAUAUACUUUUAACAAAAUCCGAGUCCAACAAGACAACAAUUCAAUUUCUUUUGUUAAUUUAAAACAUUAUUUCCAAUUCAAGAAUUUAAGAAAUCAUAUAAUAAAAUAUAAGUAUAAAAAGAUUAAUAGCUAACAAAUAUGUACCUAAACGGAGAUGGCCUUACACUACAUUGUAAUGAAAUUCAUCUUACCUUCUUUUUGUAUGAUGUUUGUUAUUUUGAAACCUUAUCACCCUCUGCAAAAGAGCUGAAUUCAUUGUGAUGAUAAUCAUAACACACCAAAAAUACAAUGAAAUUAAAAAACAAACAAGGAAGAAAAAAAAAAGGAAAAAGAAUGGGAAGUGAUGUAAGAUAUUUCACCUUUUUAGCCAUGAACUCCAUUUGCUUCCAUCUUCCUUUUCAGACGAGCCACAUUCACUGCAGUGAAGACAUAUAGCCUAUCUCUGGUUUCAUCAAUGAACCGGAAAUAUGCCUGCCUCCAAGACUUCUUUAGAACCAAACUGCCACAUACAGCCCAAAAUCCCACCGGAAAGCCCAAUCCCAUGCUUAUGAAGAACCAUGACAUGUCCCAUUCAUCUUCAUCUUCCUCCUCAUCUUUGUGAUCUUGAUCAUUUAAAGUGGAGCAGUUGGUGGAGCAGUUGGUUGACAAUGGAGGCCCAUAAAGUCCCAGGUUCGCCUCAUAAAUGGAUGGAUCGUUGAAUGUCGAGAACUGGUUGGUUGUUGGAAUUGGUCCUGACAGGCGGUUAUGCGAUAGGUUCAAAUGGUUCAAUGAGGUUAUAGAAGACAUGCUCGGAGGAAUUGGGCCUGACAGGCAAUUGCAUGAGAGGUCAAGAGUUUCUAGCCCUUGCAUGGCUCCAAUCUUCUCAGGUAUCUUUCCAGUCAACUGGUUUCGGGACAAAUUCAAGGUACCCAGGGUCGAGAGAUUUGUGAUCUCUUUUGGGAUCUCUCCCCAAAUGUUAUUACUAGAAAGAUCAAUCAAAUUCACAAUU